CUCGCGACAUGACAUUGUUUCACGCUUUUCCUUCGCUACUAGAAAUUUCUAGUCUAGUCUAGUAUAGUAUAGUCAUUUAUUUCCCAUUGAUGAAAUUUCUAGUCUAGUAUAGUUCUAGUAUAGUAUUUCUCGUUGAUUUGAUUCCUCAUCUCCAUAGUUGAAUAAUAAACCUAGACACAAACUAGAUACGGAAAUGCCUAUUUCAAGCACUGGUAUAGAGCUAGCAAGAUAAGGGAAAGACAAAGCAAGAAGGUUCUCCAGUAGGAUGAUUCUCGAUGCAAGAGAUUGCACUUAACCUUGAAUGCAAUUUAUAAAUUCGACAGCAAUAGUCCCUCGGACUCGAAAAGUAAUAACGAAAAUGGCUAAUCCAAUAGCAGAUUCCGCAGCUGCCACUGUUGGAACUAAUGAAGCAAAUGAUUGACCCAUCAUAUCAUCCAAAGAAACGGAAAAUACCAAAAAGUUCAAAUUGACAGCUAAUAACAUUGAUUCAAUUGGCAUUGACAUAAUAAGAAUAUUUCGUGAAGAAAGAUAUUUCCAUAAAUAAAUGUUAUAUCAUCUCUAGAGUGAAAUGUACGAAUAUUAACUAAACAUUCCAUCCAUUUCCGGGACAUUAUACUUAAUGUGGAGCGAUGCAACCGACGGGAAUCCUAAUUGGAUUGGCGGACUAGUGAAAUUCAUGUAAUUUAGAGUUGGCAAUGGGAGCUGGUGAUAAACAGAGAAUGGUGGCUCCUUUCCUUUCGCCCAGGGGGCAUCGUCGUCGGGGACAGGCUUCGAUUUCUAUAGUAUUUAGAUAUAGAGAUAGAUGAUGAUAGAGAUCUAGAUCUUUCUAUAGAUAGAUCCUUAGCCUAACCAAACCUCCAUGCUCACUGGUACUUUGACGUCACUAUAGGUAGGUCUCCGUGGGUCUUGAGUUCGGCAAGACGACUUCGGUUCACACGUGAAAGUGCUUCGAAAGGCACCGGCUCCCAAUGGUGAAAUUCUUGCUGAAAGCACAGCUACGUGCUGGCACUCAAUCAAGUAGUAGCGCUGGCACGUCACUCGGCUCCUCUCCUCGGCUAUUUCUCCUUAGGCGCAUGUCUCAGCAACACAAAACGAGGGUUUCGCUCGUUAUAGGACUUGACCAAACAUCUCACGACACGAGCUGACGACAGCCAUGCAGCACCUGUAUGAAAGUCAGUAUUAUCCUGAGAUUUAUGGAACCGCGUGACAACAGCUCGAGCAACGCAGCGCGUGUUCAGGAAUGUGCUGGAAGAACACCUGCGCUCAUCUUCUGGCUGCCCGAUUGAAACAAGGCAGGGAUGGAACAGAUGAUGUUUAUUAUAGACGUGGCAAAAUGUGGGUUCGAUUUUGGCCCGAUGCAGGGUCAGGUUUCGUCUUUUAGAGACUCCUUUCUAAGUGCUAGCCAACUAACUCUUGAUGAUGGGGCCAGCAAGCAUAUCUCAGCAAUUGUGUAUUUGUGUACGACAGGCAACUAUAUAACUCGAUCAUUAGGUGGCAGUGGACCUAUGAGUACUGGUGACUUCGUCCGAAAUUGCCAAAUUACAAGCUGGAAAUUAUUUUUCGAGUGAAACACUCUAUGUUUAAACACUAUGUUUAAACUUGUGACGGAGUGUCAUCUAGGUCUAUAAAUUUUGAAACUGCAGAUUGAGAUCCAUAAACUUGUUACAUUUACUUGUUAAAUGUAAUGCAUGUUCAAAGUUCCCAAACACUCCUAUUGUUGCUGAUGUGGCAUUACCAAUGUGGAGAGAUUACUUACUGAUGAAUUAAAAUUAAAGAAGAAAAUAAAAAAGGAAAGUACAAGUUGGAUCCUAUGCAAGCACCAAACAAAUCAAAGAAUAAAAAAAUAAGAAAGAAAAACCCUAAAGAAAAUCCUUUCUUUAAAAAAUCGAUCAAUUCUAACUUGUUUAAAAACAAAUCUCAAGGUCCAUGGUGAUGACCGAUGACAAUGCCAUAUUAGCAUACCAACGUAACACAAGUCUAAAGGCUCAUAAUAUGUAAUUUUAAAAUUCAUGGACCUAGCUAGAACUCCAUGACAAGUUUAAAGCCCGCUGAAACAUUUCACUUUUUUUCCCCUUUUUUCAGAAAAGAAGAAUUUACUAUUCUUCCUAGUAGAAAAGAAAAAAGUGGAUAUUGAUCAGAGUCGUUGGGUCAUCCCGCAAAGGAUGACUCUAGAAAUUACCACAUUAAUUUAGAAUAUUAAUUUAGAAUAUGUUUCCAGUCUACUCACCUUAGGUCAUUUUAGUUCUAUCCUAACUCCUAAGUCAUUCUUCUUAACUUUGACAGAGUUCAUAGAAAAAGCACAGCAGCAUCUACAACAUCUUCAUGGUGCAUUUAUUUGGUAGUAUAUAUAGAUGUUAAUUAUUUUAAUAUAAAUUUAGUCGAAGUUAGAGAAUUUUAACUUAGGACAAAACUUCAACAACCUAUAUUUUAGAGAACAGAUGAAGCAUUUUUUUGCCUUCGGAGGAUUCAGGCAAGUUGCAUUAUACUCUUACUUGAUUCACGGUAAGGGCCAUUUGGGUAAUUUACUAAAUAAUAUAUCCAUUUUCAAUGUCAUUGUCUCAAUAAGAUAAUCUUGCAAGCAUCUCCAUUUGUUUACUCCAAAUAAUAUCACCAUCCUUCCUUAAAAAGAAAUGAACAUUGACCGAGGUGUUACGUAUCAUGUAAGUAGAAUUUGUAUUUGCAAGUCGUCAGUUUGACUUGAAGCGCCCAAGUUGCAUUCUUCUACCAUUUUUGCGAGGAGCGAGUUGCAUUAUACAUGAUUGACGAAGCUGCUCUGGUCAUUGUACCGAAUAACCUUUACAAUCUUCACUAUCGCGGAUAACUUCGCAAAGCUAUGUGUACGUACUUCCGUACUUUCUUCCACAAAGCUUACGUCAAACUGCUUGAUUUGAUUGGGAUUUUUGCACAGGAACAACGAUCCCGCCGUCAGACUUUUGUUCCUCUGGCUUCCUGCAAACACAUUACGUCAGACUGCGGGAAUGUUGGCUAGAGGGCCGCCUCUAUUUCACAUUGUCGCGGACCACGCAAACACAUUACGUGCAUUUACCUUAAUUUUGCAUGCCCUUCUAAGGUUCAGAAAAUAAACUCGGAUGAAAGAUCAUGAUUCCAAGGUCUUACAAAAAAAAACUGCAUGCAAUCCUUUUUUAGAGCCCAACUGCACACAACCUUUGGGCCUUUGUAGGCUCGAACUUGCUUUAACGUUAUUUAGUGUAAUAACGUUAUUGAAAACCCCAAGAAGAGCAUUAUCGUGCAACAGGACCUGUGCCCAUUCUUGGCACCUUCCCAAAAUUAUGCUCCAUCUCAAAUGCAGUGCUGGUCUGGCUCACGUCAGUCGACUGGCUUUCAACCGCAUAUGCAUUAUAGCCCAAGUCAAGGUCACUGCUGCUGCGGGUGUAGAAACUGCCCAUUCUACCACCUCCAGUUCGACGCCCCUCCUCGAGCUCGAGGCAUUCCUGCAACUGCGCCACCACAUCGGUCAUUGUAGAUCGUUGCACCGGCGCUUGCAUGGUGCACUUUAGUGCGAUAUCUGUGACCUUCCACACACUGUUAACAUCAUACUCGCCACGCAUUCACUUGUCAACAAUGUCCUCAAUGUUGCCUCGUGCCAAGCGCCGGCGCACCCAUUAGAUGAUGCUUGUGGGCUCCGGGUCAGAUAGGAUGGGCUGCCUCCCUGUGACCAGCUCCAGUAGCACAAUACCAAAGCUAUAAAUAUCAUUCUUUGUUGUUGGCUGCAUAGUUGCCUGGUACCUAAAAGUUUGGUUGUGUGCGCAGAUAGAUUACAAUUAGAGGGCAAUGAAAAUUUUAAGAGAUUUGAUAGUGGGCACUUAAUUGACAUACUCUGGAUCAACAUAUCCAGGUGUACCAACGAGAGUAUUCGUUGAUACACCAGCUUCGUUAUCAAGGUUGAAAGCGGUUGGACAAGCCAAAGUCAGCAAUCUUGGCCUCCAGUUUUGUGUUCAAUAAGAUAUUAGUUGCCUUCACAUCCCUAUGAAUAAGAGGUGGGUUGCACCCCUUGUGCAGAUACUCCAACCCUACAAGUAUAUUAGUGUUCACGCUUCCAGCAAAAUCAAAACUCAAAUAUCAAUUGCCAUGCAGAUUAAUAUAAAGAUGUAAAUAGUAAAAUGUACCAUCAACAUCAACCCCUAAAUUGUUUGAUGUUUGUCAUUUAGGCUCCAAACUAAUUUACACUCUCAUGUCUCUUGAUAUGCAAAGUGGUCCACCCAAGAUUCAAAAGCCCAUUGUAAAUACUUUUGGUUGUUGAUGCGAACACUAACAAGACAUGUUCUACUGAUUUGGGUGCUAAUAAGACGUGAGCUGCAGAGAUGAUCAUAGGAGAUGCUAUUUGGAUUCCAUAAAUUUGUUUGUUCAUUAGAUGACACAUGAGACAUGGAAGUAAUAUUAAUGAUGAAGUUUCAUAAUUAGGACAUGGAUGACACUUAGAUGCCAUGUAGUCGUAUUAAUAUUGAUUGUAAUAGUUUGGACUAAGCCAUUAAGAUGAACUACUUAAUAAGUUAAAGACACAAAACUGUAAACUAAUAAUUUGAGGAUAUAAGUGACAAUAAUAAAUCUUACUAUUACUAAUUGAAAACUCCUUAUAAAAUAUCCACGUUAAUACACACUAGAAAAAAGGGUAGAAUCAUAAAAAUUCUCACAAAAAUCAGAAGCAUCUAGCCAUCAAUCUGGUUGCCUCUAUCAUCAUCCUGGAAGUUAUUCGUGAUCAUCUCCAGCUCCUUGUACGUGAACCUACGGUUCUCGAGGUGCAACGAGCUCUGCGUGUACGUAUCACCUUGUGGCAGUGGCGCUGAUGCAUAGCUCAUCGGCAUCUCGCUUUGAGGCUUCACGGUAUUAUGGUUCGUCGAGGUUGAUCCUGAGUGGCACAUACAACACACAUCAGCUACAUUCAGGGUGGGGAAAUUGCUAGAUCAGCAUACAGUUUGAUGCAUGUCACCUUGCUUUUUCCGUCUCAGGAAGAGAAACAGUAGUGCGAUCACUAAUAUUAUCAGCACAACCAGAACUACAGGGAUAGCAAUGUAGAUGGCAAGCUUGCUCUUCCUCUUUGGCGGCUUACAUGAAUCGGCGUUAGUGCAAAGGUUUGGGUUAUUGCCAUAUCUACAAACAUGAAUAAGAUAGAAACUAAUUGAAUACAAUCAUCAAUAUUAACAACUAUUUCGAUAAAAGUGUUUAUAUUAAUUUGACACGCGAAAUCAAAAUAGAAUCAUAUAAUCGACCGUAGAUCUAGUCAACCAUCUUGAAUUUUUUUGAGAAGUCCAGGGGUAAUUGAUCCGCUCAGCCGGUUGCUUGUCAAAUCUCUGAAAGAAACAAAAUGCUAUUGGUGUGAGUCAACGCGGGCGGCGAAUCAGGUGAAAAAUGUUUGUAGUGAGCAACUUACAGAACUGUUAGUGAUGGUAAUUGUGAAAGGGCGUCUGGAAUUGAGCCAGUCAAGUUGUUAUGUGACAGAUCCCUGCAACAUAAAUAUAUUGACCAUGGUAUAUUUCACAUAUUUUGUUACAUUGAUCCAUUACAAGGUUGAAAUAAAUCAAAAUCUUCACACAUACAAAUAUUGGACAGCCUUGAGAUUUGCGAAAGAAGACGAUAUAUCACCAUCCAGUCCACUAAAGGAUAUAUUUCUGCAAAAUAUCCGACAAUAUUAUAAUUCAGCUUAACCAUGGCUUCUCCCAUCCUGCUUUUCUUAGAUACUAAUAACAGCUCCCUCUUGUCCCAAAUACAUGAUGCCUUCGACUAGAUCCCAUCAAAGUUUUCAAAAAUGUGGAUUUGUCUUGAAAAGUAAUUUCAUAAUCUCAAAAAAUUAUUGUAUUUUAAAAUAUAUUUGAAUAGGCGUUAAAUGCGAAAGGGAGUUAUAAUAACUUAAGUUACAUUUCAAAGUUAAAAAUACUAACUUUCUUGUUCCUUCUUUGAAGUUUUUAUAAUAGAAUAAAGGUCAUAAGUAGACUAAUAAUUUGGUUCCUAUCUUGCAAUUGUCAUGAGUCUUGAGCACAAGUUAAUGUUGUAUACAAACACCCUGCAUCCACAAAUAAAUAUUGUUUUAGACCGCUUCUAGUCAACUGUUUGAAAUUUUUAUUAAAACUAUCUUUUAUGUAUUGGAAUUGGAUAUUGGAAAAAGAAAAGGUCCCUUUGACUCACUCAAACAUUCAGAUUGUCACAGAAAUAAAGAUGGAGUAAAAUAUACGUUUUAUUAUUUUAAAAUGAUAUUUAUCUCGAAAGGUAGUUUCACAAAAAUAUGCAUUUAUUCUUUUUUUGUACUAUGUGUUAGAAUAAAAAAUCAUUGUCAAGGUUAAUUUUAGCGUGGCUAGUAGUAUCAAAUACCCAAACCAUCCCUGAGUGUUAGUGAGUACUUACAUGGCGGUGAUUCUCGAACGACUGGAUAUGGCAUAACUGCAAGUCAACCCGUCCCAGGCAAAUGUCUUUGGACCACAAGGGUCACCGGCCCAGUUCUUCUGCACCCCAUACUUCGCCUUGAUGGCCAUGAUGGCAGAUACUGUUAAUUGCGUCCAAUUAGCUAUAGUUUCCAUGAACACCCACACAUGCUUUGUGUGUAACUGUGUAUAUGUACACGUACCAUCCGAGGAGUCCGUUGCGGCGUUGGUGGUGGGGAUGACGGAGUAAACCUCGAUGGCGUUGAUGAAAGGCGGCAGCGUCGAGUUGACGGUGGCGUUGAUGUGGACGGUGUACCGAGCGGCGGCCAGUAAGGGAGCAGUUCUGUAGAAGGAGUCGGAGUACAGGUAGUCUGGCCUGAUACUAGUGGAACCAAGCGAGGUCCGCCACACCACCUCGUUGACCUCGAUGAGGAACUCGCGCACGGCGUUGCUGGGCAGGAGCCGGAGCUCGGAGAAGUGCAAGAUGAGGAUGUACCCCGGCGUCGGAAACCUGGGCUGCGGCUCCGAGUCCCAGAACAGCGUGAUGUUGUCGGAUCCGUUCCGCGGGGUGAUCGCUGUCUGCAUCACCUUGGACGGCGCCUCGAACGGGUCCUUGUCUAGGUUCUGCACCUUGUUCGUCGUCGAUAUCACAUCCCACAUGGCGGUAUUGACCAAAGGGAGCCAUACCCUGUCGCGUGGAUCGUCAGGGUACCUAGCCAGCAACCAAUUGUUUUCGAGGUCAAGAAUCUCGCGCCGUUUAUCGGAUUUGAUUGCUGUAUAUACAUGGAUAAACACAGGUUUUUACUUACUCACCUAAUAAUGUCCGUAGCAUCGGUUGGCCCGAAGUUUCGCCGGGCGAACAGGACCAGGCCCUGCGUCGCGUUCGCUUGCUCGUAGAGCGAGCUCUUGAGCGGCCUGAGCUCCAGCGCGGAGAUGAAUGGCGUCCCGGAACCGGUGUUCACCAGGCAAACCUGCACGUAGUCGUCCGGCACCACGACGAUGGCCUCCAGGCUCUCCAGGCCGUCCGGGCUCGAGACGUUCACCCUGCUCCAGAAGUUGACGCCGGCGUAGAGGUCGAAGAUGGGCGGCCUGUUGAGGCCGUCGUAGUUGCCGUACCUGAACUCGGCGCGGAGGAGGUACUUGAGCCCCGCCACGAGGGACCGGAGCGUGUAGCAGUUGCGCUCGCCGUCCGGGAAGCUGCGCACGUUGAGGUAGCGCUUGGCGAGAGUCGGCGUGACGUACUCCACCGAGAUGUUCUCGUUCGAGCCGGCGUCGGUGAAGGCGGCGUCCGGGGCGUACGACAGCUUGGUGGCGUCGUCCACGGAGUUCGCCGUCCCCGGCAGGCCACAGUCUAUGCUGAUGAAACCUGAAACCGCGAAAUAUCCCUCGUUGUUCAAUCGUGCAUGGACGCACAGCGAGCUGUGUUGUCAUGCCAUCUAAACAAUAAACAUGCAGUACGUACACUAGUAGAGAAUUGGCUUUCGAUGCGCCCCUUUUGUUCCGGUUUAAAGUUGGCUCGGGAUAAAAGGUUCACCAACCGGGACUAAAGCUCGGUCACUGGUGGGGGCUCACCAAGCGGGACCUUUUAUUCCGGUUGCAAAGGCUAGUGGGAAAAAAAGACCCUGGGAGACCUUUUAUCCCGGUUUGAAACACCAACCGGGAUAAAAGGGUCCCCACGAGUUAAUACAAAAGGAUAGCAUCCCCUACAUAGUUAGAUGUGGUGUGUAGGUGUGAUGGUAAGGAAGCUACACGCGAGGCUGGAGGUUGUGGGUUCGAAUCCCACGAACCGCGCACGCGCAUAUUUCAUGUGACUCGUGACUUGCGCGUGUGGGGGGGCCUCCUGGGAACAUGGGAGGACCCCCCCUUUUGUCCCGAUAGGUUUAUCCCGGAUGGAUUUUCGGGAGAUUUGCACCCUGCCAACCGGGACUAAAGGCCAAUUCUCAACUAGUGGUAAGAUCUGAAUGUUCUGAAAACCUCGAGAUGUUAAGCAUACCGAUGCUGUCGGGCUGUGCACGAGCUUGAAGUACCACGGCGGUGGCAGCGGCGGCGAGGCCGAUAAGCAGCAACCACGACGUUGCCACCAUUCUUUCCGGCAUUGUGAUCGCUCAAUUUCUCAAGCAUGCAGUCAAACAAGCUGUUUGUGCUUUUAACUCGAUGUGCUAGCCUACUAGGUACCCCUUAUAUACGUAGCAAAUUAUCCUAGUCUAGCCUAGAUGCUGAACAAGUACCGAUUGCUUAGCACAUUGAUCGCAUCAGCAUUAAAAAAAAAAAAAUCAGGUCAGCACAUUUUUGUUCCAGUACAGAGAAGCUUGCCCUAGUGGAGAACCAACUUUUUAGUGCGGUUAUCUGUAAGUGGAAGUGUGAGGAUACAACUUUUGUAUAUCAACCAGCGCCUCAAUCCUGGUGUCAAACGAUUUAUACAUGCGGAUACUUUGUAUAUAGCGAUUUAUUUGUGAUAUAUACUCCCUCCAUUCUAAAUUACUACUCGUUUUGGAUUUUCUAAAUACAUAACUUUUAAUAUGUAUCUAAAAAUAAUAAAAAUAAUAUAUAUCUAGGUUCAUGUCAAAGGCUAUAUGCAUCUAGAAAAGCCAAAACGAAUAGUAAUUUGAGACGGAGGGAGUACUUCUUAUGAUUGUACGCGUUCGAUAUCCUUAUGAUCGAAAAGAAAAUUAGUUCAACUAAUGAAUCAAUUAACUUGUCAUAAAUAUUAUAUAUUUAAAAAACAGAUGGAGUACUAUAAUACUCCCCCGUCCUAAAUUGUAGGUCGUUUUGGUAUUUUUAGGUGCAUAAUUUAUAUCUAGAUGCAUAACAAAACGACCUGCAAUUUGGAACGGAGGGAGUAAUUAAGUCUCUUAGAAGUGAGCCCUUCUGUAACCGGCAUGACAUCAUUGGAAAUUGCCAGAGAUUCUCAGUUUGUUUUCUUAAAUCAUUCUAAAUAAAGUGGAUAUUGAAAAAGCUUGGCAAUGCUUAUGUUCAGUAUAUUGCAACCAUGAAAAAUUGUCAAUGCUCUCACUGUCCCAAAGGUUUCUGUUAAGAAAGAUUGCUAAGAACAUUGAUUGCAUCAUCAGUACUGCCCCACACACAAAAAAGAAAGGCAAUACCAGCACAUUCCUAUCCGCUACAACGCUUGCCCAUUGACAUAGCGUAGGUCGUCGAUGCCCCUGGGAAAACAUACACAAACCAGUUCCUGGUAAGUGGGCCUUUCAAUAGCCAUUGAUCGUUGGCUAACUCUUGGUGGGACCGGUAUGAGGUCAGUUGCUAUGUAAUGACAAUACAAGAGAUUAACUGAUUGGAUGGCAGUGGGCCUACGGGUAGCUGACUUGUGACUUCUUCUCCGCUCUGGAAAUCGCAGGCCAAAAAUUUCUUUCUGGGGGAAAAGAAUCUAUGUGUGCAAUGACCAAGGUUGCUAUGUACCAUGUAUAUGAGAUUUUUCUUUACACGUCAUCAGAUUAAGAUAGUGUUUUGUUCAAGGAGUCGUAACACAAAUUGGAUGAAAUCAAGUCAAAGGGGAACCAAAUAAUAUUUUUAAAAUGUUUUUUACGAAACAGGAGGGAUCCCUACUAAUUAUAUAUUAAUAUUGGGAAAAAAAGAGAGUUACAUCAUAGAAAAGGAAAAAAAUGAAAGCUGCAAAAGCGCUUCUAGCCAUCCUGAGGGAAUAUUUUUCUCUUUAUUACUCGAUGGAUGACCAUAGCAAACUCAAAUUUGAAGAUAUCUUUGCAUAUAUCAAUUGUUGGUCGUCUUUGCUUGAAAAUUGUAUUAUUUCGAGUGGUCCAUAUGCUCCAGGACAGUAAAAUGGUACUGUAACUUCCAUUAAAAAACCCUCAUUAAUCUGUUGCCUGAGCGACUCCAGCACUUGGAGAAGCUGCAAGCCUGCUUAGACAUUAAAGGGACGUUUGCUUCCACUGACUUAUUUUUAGCACGUGUCACAUCGAAUGUUUAGAUACUAAUUAGGAGUAUUAAACGUAGACUAUUUACAAAACCCAUUACAUAAGACGAAUCUAAACGGCGAGACGAAUCUAUUAAGCCUAAUUACGCCUAAUUAAUCCAUCAUUAGCAAAUGUUUACUGUAGCAACACAUUGUCAAAUCAUGGACUAAUUAGGCUUAAUAGAUUCGUCUCGCCGUUUAGAUUCGUCUUAUGUAAUGGGUUUUGUAAAUAGUCUACGUUUAAUACUCCUAAUUAGUAUCUAAACAUUCGAUGUGACGGGUGCUUAAAAUAAGUCAGUGGAAGAAAACGGGGCCUAAGAUUCAAAACUUCCCAACAUUGCAUUAUACUUGAUUGACAAAGCUACUCUCCGUUUUCACUGUCGUCGAUAAUUUUGCAAGCACGUUUUGUAGCCCUGUAACAGUAGGUGGUACUUGCUUUCACGGAGCAUACAUCAAACCAUUUGACAUGGCGUUUUACACGAGAAAAUGAAUUCCUAUCAAUAUUUUUUCCUGAAACGUUGUAAGCUACGGGAACGCUGACCGGCGGGCCUCUGCUUCAUUGGCGGAGCUCGCUCAAAAUUUUAGGUGGGUUGGACUCGUGACAACAAAUAUCAUUCACAUGUCAUGUUUAUAUUGAAAUUACAGCAAUAAAAACACAAACGUCUAUAAACGACGGUUUAAAGGUUUAAUUAAGAUGGUACAUCUCAAUACAAGUUAGUAGUCUUUUUUUGACAUCAUAACAUAAUUCAUUAACACAUGGGUCUACUACCAAAGAACCAAUCAUUUCAAGGUCCUCUUGGUGCUCUAGCAAGAACUUCACAUCCGAGUUCCUGAAGAAUAGCUAUUAUUUCCGAUUGAAAUGAGCUGAUUACUUGAUUCUACCUCAUAUGUGACCAUGUUCUUGCCAAUCGGAAGACAGGGGCAAUUGGGUUUGCCUUGCCCUUGCCCACUCUGACGCUAAUUGGCUGCUUCUCCUCGGCAUUAGCUGCUCCAUGCCCACGGCCAUGCCCAGCAGCACCGCUACGCCGUUGCUGCCGCUUCCCUGCUCUUUGUUCAGUUUUUCUCAACCGUAAGCUACAUGGUCCCCUUUUGUUUCUAAGUUUGAACAUGGGACGCCUUACAUUAUGUUAAUCUUUUCUUGUGCAAAACCGAUUGACUAUACAAAAUUAGAAUUUAGAAGGACAUACAUUGAUACAUAUACAGAUAUUUGUUUGCAUUUGCACUUGCUGAUUAACAGGCACAACUGAAAUAACGUGUUUUGGGGAAAUAACAUGGGAUAUACUCCUUUUAGGGCAAAACUGCACACAGGGACACUUAUAAUGUCUGAACCUUUGUACAUUUGAUAUGCCAACACAUCUCCGUAUAUUACUGAAGAAAUACCAUCAGCCAACAGAUCAAAUCAUUCUCUGCUUUCAACCAUACCUACAACAGCGAAAGGGCAUGUAGCCUAGUGGUUAGAGCACCUGAGUAGCACCUAGCAAUUCCGUGUUUGACUUCCCGUGGGAGCGAAUUAAACGGGUCUGAAAUUAACAAAAAAUAGGUAGGAGCUUCCCCUGCUGACUUCAGUAAAAAAUAAUACCUACAACGGUUAGUCUUUUGAUUUUUUUUUAAAAAGGAAUUAUAGUUGUCAAAAUUAAAUGCAGUUCCCGUGGGCCUCUUAUGUAGCAUUACCAUAAUUUUGUAUGCCCCUCUAAGGUUCUGGAAAUAGGCUCAGCUGAAUGAUCAUGAUUCCAAGGUCUUGCAACAAAUAAUAAUAAUAAUAAUAAUAAUAAUAAUAAUAAUAAUAAUAAUAAUAAUAAUAAUAAUAAUAAUUGCUGCAUACAAUCCUUUGUAAAGGCAAAACUGCACACACUUAUAAUGUUGAAUCUUUGUACAUACUCAAACUUGCUUUAGCUUGGUGUAAUAACACCACUGAAACACCCAAGAAGAGCCUUAUCGUGCAACAGGACCUCCACCCAUUCUUGACGUCUUCCCAAAGUUAUGAUCCAUCUCAAAUGCGAUGCUGGUCUGGCUCACGUCAGUUGACUGGCUAUCAGUAGUGUACGCAUUAUAGCCCAAGUCGAAGUCACUGUUGCUGCCGGUAUAGAAGCUGCCCCUUCUACCACCUCCAGUGCGGUGCCCCUCCUCGAGCUCGAGGCAUUCCUGCAAUUGCGCCACCACGUCGGUCAUUGUAGGUCGUUGCACUGGUGCUUGCAUGGUGCACUUGAGUGCAAUAUCAGCGACCUUCCACACACUAUUGACAUCAUACUCUCCAUGCAUUCGCGUGUCAACAACGUCCUCAAUGUUGCCUCGUGCCAAGCGACGCCGCACCCAUUGGAUGAUGCUGGUAGGAUCCGGGUCGGACAAGAUGGCCUGCCUGCCUGUGACCAGCUCCAACAGCACAACACCAAAGCUGUAAACAUCACUCUUGGUUGUUGGUUGCACAGUUGCCUGGUACCUGAAAGUUUAGGUUACAUGCACGUAUAGCUCACCAUUAAGAGUGCAAUGGAAAGUUUGAGAGAGAUGGCAAUGGGGCACUUGAUUAUCAUACUCUGGAUCGACGUAUCCGGGUGUACCAACGAGAGUGUUCAUGGAUAUCCGAGUUUCAUCGUCAUGAUUGAAAACCUUGGACAAGCCGAAGUCAGCAAUCUUGGCCUCCAGUUUCGCAUUCAAUAGAAUGUUAGUUGCCUUCACGUCCCUAUGAAUGAGAGGUGGGUUGCACCCCUUGUGAAGAUACUCCAACCCUACAAGUACAUUAUUGUUCAUGCUUGAAGUAAAAAACAUAACUUCAUUAUCAAUUGGCCUACAAAUUAAAUUCAUAAACCCAAACUAUUAAUAUACAGUACCAUGUCACUAAACUUGCUAAUUAAGUGGUUCACCCGAUAUAUAAACACUCACAGCAAACCCUAUAGGUUGUUGAUGUGAACGCUAAUGGACUACAGAGACAAUGGGGAAAGAUCACAGAUGCUAUGUGUAUUCCCUUUUUUUUGUUCAUUCAUUGGAUGGCAUGUGAGCAUGGUAGUGAUACAAACAAUAAAGUGGCAAACUUAUGACAUGUGGAUGGCAUGUUUCUUAGUGUAUUUUACAAUACCUUGAGCUGAGUCCAGUGAAAUUCGAAGCCUCUGCCUCCAGGUUAAGCGUUUUCCGUGGCGGCCAUUUCCUGCAAACGAAUCGAUGUAAUGAGAAACUCGUAGCAACAGAGGCACUUCAGAAAUGACCCUAUAGAUGAAUAACACUAAAAUCUCGGCAGUUUGAUGUAUUAAGGUGCGCCGUGCAAGCUGAACUCUUAACAUCUCGCGUAUGACAUACCUGCAAUCUGCUGUCGUAGGGUGCCUUCUGACAUGUACUCGUAUACAAGUGCCAUGUACUGCCCAUCCUUGCAGUAACCGAUCAUGGAAACGAGGUUCUUGUGAUGAAUCCGUGUUAAGAUCUGAGCCUGAACAAAUGAUCGGCCUGAGUGAUCAAAUUCCGCAGUGACGUUCCAAAAAAGAAUCUUGAUUCAAAUUCUACCUCCGAGAGAAACUCUUUGACACCCUGGUUAGAAGACUGAGAACGCAGCUUGACGGCCACUUGAGUGCCAUCCUCCAAGAAGCCAUUAUAAACUUUCCCGAACCCUCCUCGACCAAGCACGUGCUGGAAGUUAUUUGUGAUCAUCUCCAGCUCCUUGUACGUGAACCUGCGGUUCUCAAGGUGCAACGAGCUCUGCUCGAGCACAUCACCUGGUGGCAGUGGUGCUGGUGCAUAGCUCAUCGGUGGUUCGUUUUGAGGCCUCACGGUGUUUUUCGUCGACGUAGAUCCUGAACGGCACAUACAACAACAACAGACAUCAAUAUUUGUUCAGGAUGUGGCAAAAUUGCAAGGGGCAUAGACAUACUGAUGCGUGUUACCUUGCUUUUUUCGUCUCAUGAAGAGAAAGAAUAGUGCUACCCCUGAUACUAUCACCAGAACCAGAACUACAGGGACAGCAAUGUAGAUGGAAAGUUUGCUCUUCCCCUUUGGCGGCUUACAUGAAUCGGCGUUGGUGCAAAGGUUUGGGUUAUUGCCAUAUCUACAAACAUGAAUAAAAUGAAAACUGUUUCAAUAAAGUGUCAAUAUUAAAACUGUUUCAAUCAAAGUGUCAAUAUACUUCACAAAACCAAAAUAGAUUCAGAUAAUAAUCCACCGUAGAGUUAGGGAGCCAUCUUGAAUUCUUUUGAGAAGUCCAAUGGGAAUUGAUCCACUCAGCUGGUUGCUUGUGAAAUCUCUGAAAGAAACGAAAUGCUACUGGUGUGAGUCAACGUGAGGGCCGGAGGAUCAGGUGAAAAACAUUCGAAGUCAGCAACUUACAGAACUGUUAGUGAUGGUAAUUGUGAAAGCGCGUCCGGAAUUGAGCCGGUCAAGUUGUUAUGUGACAGAUCCCUGCAACAUAAAUAUAUGGACCAUGGUAUUUAACAUAUUUUGUUACUUGUAUGGAUCCAUUAUGAGGUUGAAAUAUAUCAAGAACUUAACACAUACAAAUAUUGGACGGCCUUGAGAUUUGCGAAAGAAGAUGAUAUAUCGCCAUCCAGGCCGCUAAAGGAUAUAUUUCUGCAAAAUAUCCGACAAUUCUGCUUAAUCAUAGCUUCUCCCAUCCGGUUUUCUAAGAUACUAAUAACCAGUCCUUAUCCCAUCAAAGUUUUCGAACUUAUUUGACUCUAGGUAACUUUUGUAUAUUUAAUUUAGAAACAUGAUAGUUAUUAUGUGGAGUUGUCUUGAAAAGUAAUUGAUAACUUCUUAAUGUUUUGCAUUUUAUAAAUAUAUUUGAAUAGGAGUUAAACGCAGGACUCUUUCUUCCUUCUCUUAAUUUUUCAAUAGAAGAAAGGUCAUAAACAGACCGAUGAUUUGGUUCCUGCAUUGUCAAUUGUCAUGAGUCUUGGGUACACGUUAAUGUUCUAUACACAAAACCCUCCGUUCAGAAACAAACAUUUGAAUUUUUUGUUACAAAUUAACUUUUAUGUAUUGGAUUUGGAUACUGGGAAAAAAAAGAAAAAGUCCCCUCCUUGACUCCCUCAAAUAGUCAGUUUGUUGGUUAGAACCCGGGGUCUUGAUGUGGACAAAAUAAAGAUGGAGUAAAAUAUAAUUUUUAUUAUUUAUAACUGAAGAGGGAUUUAUCUCGAAAGAUAGUUUCAGAAAAAGUACAACCCUCAAACUGUCAGUAUGCAUUUCUUAUGUUUUCUUCAUGUAUUGCAACGAAGAGGCAUAGUCAAAGUUAUUAUGUUUUAGUGUCUAGUAUGAAACAUCAUCCAAACCAUCACUUAUUGUGAGUGAGUACUUACACGCCGGUGAUUCUCGAAUGACUGGAUAUGCCAUAACUGCAAGUCAACCCAUCCCAGGCGAAAGUCUUCGGACCACACGGGUCACCCGCCCAGUUCUUCUUCACCCGAUACUUGGCCUUGAUGGCCGUGAUGGCAGAUACUGUUAAGUGCACCCACAGGUUACUUGCUAGUACCAUGCAUGCCCAACUACUGGAGUAUGUGACAGUCUACAUGUACCUACCGUCCGAGGAGUCCGUUGCGGCGUUGGCGGUGGAGAUGACGGAGUAAACCUCGACGGCGUUGAUGAAAGGCGGGAGCGUCGAGUUGGCGGUGGCGUUGAUGUUGACGGUGUACCGAGCGGCGGCUGGCAAGGGAGCUGUGGUGUAGAAGGCGUCAGACAAAAGGUAGUCUGGCCUGAAACCAAGCGAGGACCUCCAGACCACGUCGUUGGUCUCGAGGAAGAACUCGCGCACGGCGUUCCCGGUCAGGAGAUGGAGCUCGGAGAAGUGCAUGAUGACGAUGUACCCCGGCGUCGGGUCCCUGGGCUGCGGCGUGGAGCCCCAGAAGAACGUGAUGUUGUUGGAUGCGUUGCGCGGGAUGAUCGCUGUCUGCAUCACCUUGGACGGCGCCUCGAAUUUGUCGUUGUUCAGGUUCUGCACCCUGUCCGUCGUCGACAUCACGUCCCAGAGGGUGGCGUCGAACAAAGGGAGCCAUAACCUGUCCCGCGGAUCAUCAGGAUACCUAGCAAAUCGAUUGCCUUCGAUGUCAAGAAUUCCGUGUACGUACUUCGAUCGUGGAUUGAUUGGACCAGGAGUGAUGUGCUGGUGCUGGUAUCUUUUUUGCUCACCUGACAAUGUCAGUAGCAUUGGUGUGCCCGAAGUUGAUCCUCGCGAACAAGACCAGGCCCUGCGUCGCGUUCGCUUGCGGGUAGAGCGAGCUCUUGAGCGGCCUCAGCUCCAGCACGGAGAUGAACGGCGUUCCUGAACCGGUGUUCACCAGGCAAACGUGCACGUACUCGUCCGGCACGACGACGAUGGCCUCCAGCCUGUGCACGGUUUCCGGGCUCGAGACGUUCACCCUGCUCCAGAAGUUGACGCCGGCGUAGAGGUCGAAGAUGGGCGGCCUGUUGAGGCCGUCGUAGUUGCCGUACCUGAACUCGGCGCGGAGGAGGUACUUGAGCCCCGCCACGAGGGAGCGGAGCGUGUAGCAGUUGCGCGCGCCGUCGGGGAAGCUGCGCACGUUGAGGUAGCGCUUGGCGAGAGUCGACGUGACGUACUCGACCGAGAUGUUCUGGUUCGAACCAGCGUCGGUGAAGGCGGCGUCCGGGGCGUACGACAGCUUGGUGGCGUCGUCCACGGAGUUCGCCGUCCCCGGCAGGCCACAGUCUAUGCUGAUGAAACCUGCAACGCACGAUACCUCUCGCUAUUCGAUUCAAUCGUGCAUGGAUGGGCGCACAUGGAGAUGUGUUGUGUAGUUCAUAUUAUCAUAUACAUGCAGUGCAUAGGAUCUGAAACGUUGUGGAAACAUAUCGAAGGGAUGUCGAGCAUAGUAGCAUACCAAUGUUGUCGGGCUGUGCUCGAGCUUGAAGUACCCCAGCGAUGGCAGCGGCAGCGAGACCGAUAAGCAGCAGCCACGACGUUGCCACCAUUCUUUCCGUCAUUGUGAUUGUUCAAUUUCUCAAGAUAGCAGCCAAACAAGCUAUUUGUUUGUGCUUCUAACUACCAGUAGGUACCCCUUAUAUUCGUAGCAAAUCCUAGUCUAGUCGAUCUAGAUGGUGAACAAGUACGUACCAAUUCUCCCAGAAGCCUCUAUCAUAAGGGGUGGAAAACUAAUACCAGUUGCUUAGCACACUAAUCGCAUCAGCAUUACAGAAAAAUUAAUCAGGUCAGCACAUUUUUAUACAGUACAAAGCAGCAGCAACCACAGCGUUGCUGCCAUUGUUCUCGGCAUUUAAAUGAUCGAAUGCUUCAUUGCACAAGCAAGGUAGCCAACCUCUAUGCAUAUAUAUUGACUCCAUUAGACGAUGAACAAUUGUCAAAUGCUCCCACAGGUUUAUGCUAUCAAAGGAAAAAAAGAAUAUAAUUUUUUUUGAAACGAAAAAAAGAAUAUAAUUGCUCGAGAACAUUAAUUGAUUGCAUCAGCACUGUAAAAAAGAAACACGUCCGCUACAAAGCUUUGCCCAUUGACAUAGCGCCUAGGUCGUCGAUGCCCCUGGCAAAACAUACACAAACCAGUUCCUCGUAAGUGGCAGGCAUCGUUGGCUAACUGUAGAUGGGACCAGCUAGCAUGAGGUCAAUGGUUGUGUAUGAUAAUACUCUGAUUGGAUAGCAGUGGGCCCCCGGAUAGUUGACUUCUGAUUUCUCCACUCUGGAAAUUGCAGGCCAGAUCAAAUCAUUUUAUGCUUUCAACAAUGCUUACAACAAUUAGAGUUUUGAUCUUAAAAAAAGCAGUUGGAGUUGUCGAAAUUAUACGCAGUUCCCCUGAGCCUCUUAUAAAGCAUUACCUUAAUUUUGUAUGCCUCUUUAAGGUUCUCGAAAGAAGCUCAGCUGAAUGAUCAUGAUUCCUAGGUCUUGCAACAAAAAUAAGACAUUUGCUAUUUAUCUAUCGAUGAGAAAAUCUAUCAAAACGUUUUAUGUUGCAAAUGGUCCUCUGAUAAUGCAAACGUCAUUAUGUGAUGUUUCAAGAUGUUUCAUAAUUUUAGGGAAAGAAAUAUAAAAAAGUUUUUUGAUGUUACAUGUGCUAUUUUGUGAUGUUUCAAACGUUAUUGUCUCUCGUGUUGCACAAUACUUAAUAUUCCAGCCAUAUGAAAUAUGGGAGAAUAACACCGGCAACAUUCCAGAACAUCUGCAAUACUAUGAAAUUCAACAGAUUUUACCGUAAAAAUCUAUCAAUAGAUAAAUAGACAUUCUCAUAAUAAAUAAAUAAUAACCGCAUACAAUCCUUUUUAAAGGCAAAGUUGUACGCACUUAUAAUGUUGACCUUUGUAUACACUCAAACUUGCUUUAAUUUGGGUGUAAUAACAUCACUAUAACAUCCAAAAAGAUCCUUAUCGUGCAACAGGACCUCCGCCCAUUCUCAACAUCUUUCCAAAAUUAUGACCCAUCUCCAAUGCGGUGCUGGUCUGGCUCAUGUCAGUUGACUGGCUAUCAGCAGCGUACGCAUUAUAGCCCAAGUCGAGGUCGCUGCUACUGCCACUGUAGAAGCUUCCCCUUCUACCACCUCUGGUGUGGUACCCCUCCCCGAGCUCAAGGCAUUCUUGCAACUGUGCCACUACGUCGGUCAUUAUAGGUUGUUGCAUUGGCGUUUGCAUGGUACACUUAAGUGCGAAAUCCGUGACCUUCCACACAGUGUUGACAUCAUACUAUCCACGCAUUCGCGUGUCAACAACAUCCUCAAUGUUGCCUCGAGCCAAGUGUCGCCGCACCCAUUGAAUGAUGCUGGUGGGCUCCGGGUCGGAUUGGGUAGCCUGCCUCCCCGUGACCAGCUCCAACAGCACGACACCAAAGAUGUAAACAUCACUCUUGGUUGUUGGUUGCACAGCUGCUUGGUACCUGAAAGUUUAGGUUACAUGCAUGUAUAGCUCAUGUUGGUCUCAAAGGAAUUUGACACCAAACAGAUUUAAGCUGUAAUGAGAAUAAUACUUGAAAUUAGAAAAAACUGAUCUCCCUUUACAACGGGGUAGGGCUCCCCUUUUGUAGUGACCCAUGAGCCACUUUACAUUCCGCAAAUGUUCUUUCUCAACCACUACAUUCCUAGGAUAUAUCGUACAUAAAGGUCAUUGGAGGAAACGUGUACAAAUUGAACUCUUCCACGUGGUCAGGUUUCUCAUGCCUUCUGCUCUCUAACCUCAGGACUUCAUCUUUACUUUAAGUUGAUCAUCUAGCUUCGAGGCUCCAUCCGCGAUUCAAGAUGAACGUCCAGCCUCGAGGCACCUGCUUCAUUGAGCCUUGUUGAGAGUUCAUAACCUCGCAUAGUUCUUCUCCGAGCAUUGUUCCUGAGUAAAAAGUAAAAAGGUAAAAGCUUGGUGCUCGGAACCAACUCCGAACACUCGAGGGUUGGCUCAGUUGGAGUUUAGCCAUUACUGUUGUCAAUCACUAGCCUCGGGUCCUUCUAGUAAUAGAAGUGAUGCAAGGGUACGAGUUUUACUAUUAGAGGUGCCUCUAUAGAACGUGCAAGGUUAAAGAAGUUCUAUUUUAUUUACUGCCCGCGUAACUUGCAAGGUUAAUCUUGAGCCCUGCUAACGACAUUCAAGGGUAACUGAGUUUUGCUUCUCGGUUUAAAACUUGUGAGGUCAGUAGGGCUUCACACUUCAUUAUACUUGAUGUAAACCUUGCGAGGUCAAAAGGGUUCUUACCCCAUAGACGGCGCUCGAGGGUGUUUAUACUUUUGGUGAUCCCCAACAGUAGACCCUCAUCGGCGAGGGUUGACUCUGAUGGGCCAAACCCGCGACUAAGGAUCACUUCUAUCAAAAACGUCACCCUCGAGUGUUGGAGGAGAAAUGAACCAACGGUAACUUUUGAUACCUAUCGUGACAUUUUUUAAUUGGGUUCUGCUUCAACUUUGGUUCGAGGGUCGAGGCAUCUAUUCGUACCCAUUAACUCCCCUAUAAAAGGUCACGAACCAAUCGCGUUUUGCUGAGAGAUUGCCCGUUGUUGCUUAGCACUUUGAGAUUCACGCUUUCUUGGCUCCUUGCAUCGAUCUCUCUAGCUUCUAAGGUAUUAUUUUUAUCCUUUUCUUUCGUUCUUUUUUACCUUUUGCUCUCUUGCUUGCUGUUUUGAUUUACUUUUUUAUAUGUUGUCCAGCUAGCUUGAAUUAUGCAAACUGUGAGAUUAAUAACUUUUGAAGAGCUGGUAGAGCAAGCGAGGUUGCGUGGGGACGCUCCCGAGCAACAGGAGGUCCACGAGGGUUCUCAUCCUCUGGAGAUCUCUUCCGAUACUAAUAGUGGAAAGGAUCUGACUAACAUCGAGGCUGAUCCUUCAGAGCUCAUGGCCGGCAAGGACACUUUCGCACCAACUCUCCACUUUGGCCGUUCGUUGGUUUCCCAGAAUACCAUAGACUUUUAUGUCAGCAAAGGCUAUUUUCCCAAGGACUUUGCAAGGCCUCUUGGUGAAGAGCUUGUGCUGAAACCCAAUCUUGGCGAGGCUACAGUCUUCAGGGAUUUUUUCACUGCCGGCCUACACUUUCCAUGCGACAAGAUGUUGUCUUAGAUUCUGGACAGGUGUGGGGCUAAACUUCACCAGCUUACGCCUAAUGCCUUUGUGACACUUUCUAAGUUUACUGGGUCGAGCGCAGUUUUGGUGGCAUGUUGAUGUUGAUGGUUUUGCGAGGCUCUUCAAGCUUCAUAUUAAAAAAAAGAGAGUUUAGUUUGACGAUGAGAAAGAGGCUUUCAAGACUCAAUUUGGUUGUUGUACGUUCACGACUCAGAGGAAAAAUGAAAGUAAGAAAAUUUCUAGAGUUGAGCUCCCUAUGGCUCAGAAGAACAGAUGGGAUGAUGAUUGGCUUGGUUACUGGUUUUACAUCAAGGUAGACAUGUCCGAGGCUUUUGGUUAUGGUCAGCCAUUUUACCCGUUCUUCAGUUCGAUGUCUCCUCUAAACAUUACAUCGGUUCCCACUUUCUUGAGACCGCUUUCCAGGCUUGCAAGGAUGCCUUUGUUGUUGCUUGUUCAGCUGUUGCCGGGCGGGACUUGGUUGAAGAAUUUCUGGGUGCGGACAUUUGGCCUCUUUCUCAUGGGUGGACACCUAAGGCAAUUGUGAUGAAGACUGUGACGUGGUACCACAAACCGGUUCCUUUUCCUCUGUUUGGUUUGAGCUUGCCAAAGGGGGCGAAUGCUGGUAUUUUUGUUGAUGAGAUUGAGAGGCACAUUGUUGAUAUCUUAGGGCCCUGUCACAAGAGUGAAUAUUUUUCAGCUCGUAAGAUUGUUACACAUGGUGUCCAAGUGAACCGUGUGUUGUCUGAGAUGGAAAUAGAGGUGGAGCCUUGAGUCAAACCUCGCAAACCCUCAAAGCGGAUGCAUGAGGCUAUUGUGACUGGUUCUAUUGAUAUUGGUGGAAAUGGAGGGAAGGGGUAGAAGAAGAAGAAGAUUGAAGAUUCAUGUUCUUUGCGCAUGGUCGAGGUUGCAAAAAAAUCAAAGACUCCAGGCCUCGAGGCUCUUAAGAAAAAGAGCUUACUUGGUCAGGGAUCUUCUAGCGAUCAGCAAUUAAGCUCUUCUAGCAAAAGGCUUGAGGUUAUCAAAAGUUCUGAACCUAUGAUAUGGGAGCCCGAGGUUAAGUCAGUUGCCUCGAGGUUGGAGCUUGAAGCUGCUGGGGCUUUAGCCGGGAUGAAAUUGAAGAAAGCUGGCAAGAAAACCGGAAUAAGAAUUGUGAAUGUCUUAGAUGAUGCUAAUGAAGAUGAACGGUUUUUGGAUGAGGGUUCAUCUUUGGCUUCACCUCUGCACCCCGAAGCUCAAAGGAGUCUCACCGAAAAGAGCUGCACCCCAAAGCUGUUGUCGCUACCAAGAAGGCUAAUCCUAACCCGGUGCCUAUUCAGCCAGGUAAAAUUGUCAUCGAAUCCCCACCUAAAUUAAGGUUCGUGGAUGCUAGCGUUGUUGGAGGUAUGCCCUAGAGGCAAUCAUAGAGAUGAUGAUAUUCCAUUUGUAUCCAUGAUUUGUAUGUUGUGUUCAUUGAAUAUCCAUUGAAGGCUACUUGAAUUGAUUUGCAAUUAUGUGAAUUGUAUGUGAAACUCUUUACUUGUAUGGUUAUUCUAAAGUUGUCCCUAGUCGGAGUUCAUGUGAGGACACACAUGAAUAUUAGACUAGCACAUGUAUUAGUUGAUGACUAUGUUUCACAAGUCAUGGACAUGGAGACGUUGAACUAAUAAUGUGGACACAUGUGGAGACAUGUGUUAGGACUGACCCAACACGAGAAGUAGUUCUCUCUUUAAUCAACAUAUACGCUUUGUCCUUAGACCUGAGAUUGUCGCAUGUAUUCUAGAUGUGGAUCAACCUACUUAGGGGCUAUCAAACGCUACGCCGUAACAGGGUAGUUAUAAAGGUAGCUUUCGGGUUUGUCAAGAAGCAUGCUAUGAGACAUGGUCAAUCAAGAUGGGAUUUGCCCCUCUCUGAUUGAGAGUGAUAUCUCUGGGCCCCUCGAGUGAUCGGAUCCAAAAAUGCAUGGGCAUGCUACGUACGGUUAAGAGUUAACCUACAAAGGGAUUCCAGAUCACAGGAUCGAGAAAGAGCGGUCGGCUUGUAGCUAGACCAAAUAUCGUGAGGCAAAGGGAAUAGCAUGUAUAUUAUGUUGUGAUGGUUCGUCUGAUAUGAUCUUCGUGUGCGUAUAGGAGUUGGCACGUCUUGCUAGAGGCCGCUACCGACUAUUGGGCCGAGUAGGAGUACUUGGGCCAUGUCUAUACGUAUCCGAACCCAUAGGGUCACACACUUAAGGGGCUGGAAGCCCAAUUCGGAUCUGGUCCGAGUUGGAUUAGGUUUAGAAGUGCUAAUGGGCCUCGGAUCCAGAGGCCCGUCAGGAACCUCUAUAAAUAGAGGGGUGGGGGCGCCCUAGGGUUUACACUUUUUGGCGAAACACACCUGCCGCGCCUCCCACGCCCUCGCCUGUUGCAACUCGCGGAUCUAGCAGUCCGGCUUGCGACGCUUCCUCCCUGCACGUGUGGAUACCUUGGAGGUGUUGCGCCUGCAGCACUUGGACGAGCCGCCGACGAGCCACCGACGAGCCGCGACGAGCCGACGACGAGCCGCGGCACCGGAGGCGAUCUUGCUGCACGUGGACGAGCUGCUGAGGAGCUGCUGGACGUGAUCGACUACGUACGACUACGUUGAUCGACUACGUACGACUACGUGAUCGUCUUCACUGCAUCGACGCAUAUCUACAUCUUCCGCACCAGUAGUGCGUCGAGUGGUAAUCCCGUGAUCCUUAUACGGCAGUUCUUCCUGGUUAUACGCGGUAGAUUUUUUGAAUUGCGCUAGUGUAGCCUACCUCGUAUCCCAACAGUAGUAUCAGAGCCGUAGCUGCUUAGUUUUGGAUUCGGGAUGUGUGCAUAUGGAGAUAUGCGAGUUUUCUGUUUGAUCUAUGUCCUGGUUUCGUGCCCUUGCUGCAAUGGUAGUGUAACGACAUACUCCUACCGGUCGGUUUCCGCCAUCGGAGUUAAGUGAUACACGUAAAUCUAGUUGCAGUGAGCAAAGAUCAAUAUGAUUGGUCGAAUUGAAACCCAGGGUCAUACGCCAGGCGCAUUAGAUGUGCAAUGGUAGAUGAGAUCUACUGCCGAGGUCGGGAUUUUUGCCGUAUGCGUAUGCUUCGGUAAAUCAGCCGUAACUUUUCGGUACGAUCUCGGAUCGGGGCGAAUUUUAUAUGAAAAUUGAUCUACAGAAAAAGUUACACAUGAAAUUCAACGCUUUGCCAUUUUAGGCGAAAUUAGAUUUCCCAAAUUUGGCUUGGAAGAUGGAGUUUCGGGCCUCCGAAGUUUGGAACGUUAGGACGCCUAACUCUGUUUUGCAGGAUGUAUGUAUGUAUCUUUUGAUCAGUAUGGCCCCCUUGUGUAUGUGAUGCAUGUGUGUAACUCAUUCGUGACCUGCGUGUCGCGCGUACGGCAACACGGCAGGAGCCAUAUGUGUUGUCACUUUAUUGUAUUUAAUGGUCUGCGUACCAAUCUGUGAUGAUCCAAGCAACUAUGUAAUCUUCAUUACUAGAUUCUUUACUAGCUAUUAGGAGUAAUAGCAUGCUCUAGUUCUUGGAGGACUCAUCACCAGGAGGAUGGCGCACAUGGAACAUGGAGAUGGAGAUCACCAUGGUGAACAGGUUCUAUGGAGAUGGAGAUCACCAUAUGAAAACGGGCCAUACUGUGUCACAGCUGUGUGAAUGCUAUUCUGUUUAUGUUUUACUUUCUGCAUGCUGUGAUGUUAGAAGUAGAACGAUCCCUCACAAAGUUUAAGUUAGUAUGCCCUCCCAACUAAAACUUGCACCGUCCCAUGUCUUGUACAAUUGGUGGUGGGUCUAUGAAAUUAGGGUGCCACUAGUUUUCCUUGACUAGACGGGUUUGUGUCGGACACUUACACGCAUAAGGGUUGGUUUGCUUAACAAGGUCAUCUUAACGGUUAAGGACCUUGGGGCAUAAAGGUUGGACGCCGAGACAUAGAGAUGUCACCCAACAACAGGAGUCAUAUGUGAUAUGAUUAGCAAAAGUUGCUUACCGAUCUACCUCGUUUGCUAGCGGUGAUGCUAAAGCUCACUAGUAGACUUGUUAGUUGUGGAUCCUGAAUCACUAAGUUUCAAUAGAGGGAUAUUGAUUUUAGUGGGAGUAGAUUCUGUUAAAAUAGUUUAAUGUAAUUUUCUCUAUCAUGGAUACGUUUGUCUUAGUGUAUCUUGCAUUACUUGUGUUGUAGAUUAAAUGGCACCUAGCAACACCACCACACCAUUUGCUUUGCGUUCGGUCCUUGAGAAGGACAAGUUGAAUGGAACAAACUACUCGGAUUGGAUCCGUAACCUGAGAAUUGUUCUCAGAGCCGAUAAAAAGGAAGAUGUUCUAGACACCCCACUACCACCAGUACCUGCUGAUGAUGCAUCUGCUGCCGUUAAGGCUGCUUACAAGAAGGCAUUUGAUGCUAAUCUUGAGGUAAGCUGCCUUAUGCUUGCUUGCAUGGAACCCGAGCUGCAGAUGCAGUUCGAAACAAAUCAUGAGGCACACGAUAUGAUCGUGGCGCUCAAGGACAUGUUCCAGACACAGGCUAGGACCGAAAGGUUCAAUGUGUCCAAAGCCUUUCUGGAGUGCAAGUUAGCAGAAGGCGCAGCAGUAGGACCACAUGUAAUCAAGAUGGUUGGUUACACUCAGCGAUUGGAGAAGCUGGGCUUCCCAAUGGGCAAAGAGUUGGCCACUGACUUCAUUCUUUCAUCUCUUCCGCCUAGCUAUGGGAACUUCAUCUCGAACUACCAUAUGCAUGGGACGGAGAAGGGUUUGAAUGAACUGUGUGGUAUGCUCAAGACAGCAGAGGUAGACAUCAAGAAAAGCGCUAGUACCAGCCAUGUGAUGGCUAUACAAAACAAGCCUAGCUUUAAGAAGAAGGGCAAUUCUUGGAAGAAGAAGGGCAAGGCUGGAACGUCCAAGCCAAACCCACCGCCCAAGGUUAAAGCUGGACCUGGACCUGCUCCAGACAAAGAGUGCUUUUACUGUCAUGAACUUGGUCACUGGAAGAGAAACUGCAAGCAGUACCUAGCUUCCUUGAAGAAUGGCGGAAGUAAGAGUACUUCUACCUCAGGUACGCUUGUUGUUAAUGUUAUAGACAACAUAUUUCUCGCUGAUACAAUUAUUAAUUCUUGGGUAUUUGAUACCGGAUCGGUUGCUCAUAUUUGCAAUUCGAUGCAGGGAAUGAUAAGAAGUAGAAGCGUGGAAAGAGGAGAAGUUGAUUUCCGCGUGGGCAAUAAUGCAAGAGUUGCUGCGUUGACCGUCGGGACGAUGCAACUCCACCUCCCGUCAGGAUUUAUUAUGGAGUUGAAUAAUUGUUAUUUCGUUCCUAGUUUAAGUCGAAACAUUUUGUCUCCUUCAUGCUUGAUGAAGGAUGGUUACUCAUUUGCGAGUGAAAACAAUGGUUGUGUGAUCUCUAAGAAUGAUAUGUUUAUGGCUUUUGCACCCAUUGUGAAUGGAUUAUUUGUUUUAAAUCUUGAUGGUUCACCUGUCUGUAACGUAAGUGCUAAAAGGCCUCGGCCUAAUGAUUUGAGUCCUACCUACUUGUGGCAUUGUCAUUUGGGUCAUAUAAGUGAAAAGCGCAUGAAGAAGCUCCAUUCUGAUGGACUUCUAACUUCGUUUGAUUUUGAAUCAUACGAGACAUGUGAGGCUUGCUUGCUAGGCAAGAUGACCAAGACGCCUUUCACAGGAAUUCCUGAGAGAGCAGUAGACUUGUUGGAACUCGUACAUAGUGAUGUAUGCGGACCAAUGAGCACGACGGCUAGAGGAGGAUUCCAAUACUUCAUAACUUUCACUGAUGAUUUUAGUAGAUAUGGAUAUGUCUACUUGAUGAGGCACAAGUCUGAAACCUUUGAAAAGUUCAAGGAAUUUCAGAAUGAAGUUGAAAAUCAGCGUGGCUAAGGCCUUACGAUCUGAUCGUGGAGGCGAGUAUUUGAGCCACGAGUUUAGCAAUCAUCUAAAGAGUUGCGGAAUUGUUCCACAACUUACGCCGCCUGGAACACCUCAGAGAAACGGUGUGUCCGAGCGACGUAAUCGAACUUUGUUAGACAUGGUUCGAUCAAUGAUGAGCCAGUCGGACCUACCGUUGUCAUUUUGGGGAUACGCUCUAGAAACAGCAGCUUUCACACUUAAUAGGGUACCAUCUAAAUCCGUAGUUAAGACACCAUAUGAGAUAUGGACUGGAAAGGUUCCUAGUUUGUCUUUUCUAAAGAUCUGGGGAUGUGAAGUGUUUGUCAAGCGACUUCAAUCGGACAAGAUCACACCCAAGUCGGAUAAGUGCAUUUUCGUGGGAUAUCCAAAGGAAACUUUGGGAUAUUAUUUCUACAACCGAUCAGAAGGCAAAGUGUUUGUCGCUCGGAACGUGGUUUUCCUAGAGAAAGAGUUUCUCAAAGGAGAAAAGAGUGGAAAGACAGUGCAUCUUGAAGAAGUUCAAGAUGAGCCGAUCGGGCAAGAAUCAAUGAGUGAUGCUAACGUAGCAGAACAAGUUGAGAUACCCAUGGCAAGAGAAGCACCGCCACAACCACGAAGGUCGGCAAGGCUCCGCGAAAUGCGGGAAAUAUUAUUGUUGGACAAUGAUGAGCCUGCGACAUAUGCAGAAGCAAUGAUGGACCCAGACUCCGAAAAAUGGCAGAGUGCCAUGCAAUCCGAAAUAGAGUCCAUGGGAGACAAUCAAGUUUGGAACUUGGUUGACCCGCCUGAUGGUGUUAAAGCCAUAGAGUGCAAGUGGAUCUAUAAAAAGAAAAAGGAUAUGGAUGGAAAUGUUCACAUCUAUAAAGCACGACUUGUCGCAAAAGGUUUCGACAAGUUCAAGGAGUUGACUACGACGAGACCUUCUCACCCGUAGUGAUGCUUAAGUCCAUUCGGAUUAUUCUAGCUAUAGCUGCAUAUUUCGAUUAUGAGAUAUGACAGAUGGAUGUCAAGACAGCUUUCCUGAAUGGAAACCUAGCUGAGGACGUGUAUAUGAUACAGCCCGAGGGUUUUGUCGAUCCGAAAAAUGCUGGAAAGGUAUGCAAGCUUCAGAGAUCCAUUUAUGGAUUGAAGCAAGCAUCUGGGAGUUGGAACAUUCGUUUUGAUGAAGUGGUCAAAGGGUUUGACUUCACCAAGAACGAAGAAGAGUCUUGUGUUUACAAGAAGAUUAGUGGGAGCUCUGUAGUAUUUCUAAUCUUAUAUGUGGAUGACAUAUUACUGAUUGGAAAUAACAUUCCUAUGCUUGAGUCCGUAAAGACUUCACUGAAAAAUAGUUUUUCGAUGAAGGACUUAGGGGAAGCGGCAUAUAUUCUGGGCAUUAAGAUCUAUAGAGAUAGAUCGAGAAGGCUUAUAGGUUUAAGCCAAGAUACUUACAUUGACAAAGUGUUGAAGCGGUUCAGCAUGGAAGAGGCAAAGAAAGGGUUCUUGCCUAUGUCACAUGGCAUACAUCUCAGCAAGACUCAGUGUCCUUCGACUGCUGAUGAGCGGGAUCGCAUGAGUAGAGUGCCAUAUGCCUCGGCUAUUGGAUCUAUCAUGUAUGCAAUGAUAAGUACUCGCCCAGAUGUUUCAUAUGCGCUAAGUAUGACAAGCAGACACCAAUCUGAUCCAGGUGAGAGUCACUGGACAGCGGUGAAAAAAUUCUUAAGUACUUGAGAAGGACUAAAGAUAUAUUCCUCGUCUAUGGAGGUGAGGAGGAGCUCGUUGUAACAGGUUACACCGAUGCUAGUUUCCAAACCGACAGAGAUGAUUCAAAGUCACAAUCAGGAUUUGUGUUCACACUGAAUGGUGGUGCUGUUAGUUGGAAGAGUUCCAAGCAGGAGACGGUGGCCGAUUCUACGACAGAAGCCGAGUACAUCGCGGCUUCGCAAGCCGCGAAGGAAGGUGUUUGGAUAAGGAAUUUCCUCAUUGAGCUUGGUGUGUUCCCGAAUGCGUCCAGCCCAUUGAAUCUCUACUGUGAUAAUAAUGGGGCAAUUGCGCAAGCAAAGGAGCCAAGGAACCACCAGAAGAACAAACACGUAAUGCGGCGAUUUCAUCUCAUUCGAGACUUCGUUAACCGGGGUGAGAUCAAGAUAUGCAAAAUACACACGGAUCUGAACAUUUCUGAUCCGUUGACAAAACCACUCCCGCAGGCUAAGCAUGAUGCGCAUGUAAGAGCUAUGGGUAUUAGGUACCUUCUAGAUUGACUCUAGUGCAAGUGGGAGACUGUUGGAGGUAUGCUCUAGAGGCAAUCAUAGAGAUGAUGAUAUUCCAUCUGUAUCCAUGAUUUGUAUGUUGUGUUCAUUGAAUAUCCAUUGAAGGCUACUUGAAUUGAUUUGCAAUUAUGUGAAUUGUAUGUGAAACUCUUUACUUGUAUGGUUAUUCUAAAGUUGUCCCUAGUCAGAGUUCAUGUGAGGACACACAUGAAUAUUAGACUAGCACAUGUAUUAGUUGAUGACUAUGUUUCACAAGUCAUGGACAUGGAGACGUUGAACUAAUAAUGUGGACACAUGUGGAGACAUGUGUUAGGACUGACCCAACACGAGAAGUAGUUCUCUCUUUAAUCAACAUAUACGCUUUGUCCUUAGACCUGAGAUUGUCGCAUGUAUUCUAGAUGUGGAUCGACCUACUUAGGGGCUAUCAAACGCUACGCCGUAACAGGGUAGUUAUAAAGGUAGCUUUCGGGUUUGUCAAGAAGCAUGCUAUGAGACAUGGUCAAUCAAGAUGGGAUUUGCCCCUCUCUGAUUGAGAGUGAUAUCUCUGGGCCCCUCGAGUGAUCGGAUCCAAAAAUGCAUGGGCAUGCUACGUACGGUUAAGAGUUAACCUACAAAGGGAUUCCAGAUCACAGGAUCGAGAAAGAGCGGUCGGCUUGUAGCUAGACCAAAUAUCGUGAGGCAAAGGGAAUAGCAUGUAUAUUAUGUUGUGAUGGUUCGUCUGAUAUGAUCUUCGUGUGCGUAUAGGAGUUGGCACGUCUUGCUAGAGGCCGCUACCGACUAUUGGGCCGAGUAGGAGUACUUGGGCCAUGUCUAUACGUAUCCGAACCCAUAGGGUCACACACUUAAGGGGCUGGAAGCCCAAUUCGGAUCUGGUCCGAGUUGGAUUAGGUUUAGAAGUGCUAAUGGGCCUCGGAUCCAGAGGCCCGUCAGGAACCUCUAUAAAUAGAGGGGUGGGGGCGCCCUAGGGUUUACACUUUUUGGCGAAACACACCUGCCGCGCCUCCCACGCCCUCGCCUGUUGCAACUCGCGGAUCUAGCAGUCCGGCUUGCGACGCUUCCUCCCUGCACGUGUGGAUACCUUGGAGGUGUUGCGCCUGCAGCACUUGGACGAGCCGCCGACGAGCCACCGACGAGCCGCGACGAGCCGACGACGAGCCGCGGCACCGGAGGCGAUCUUGCUGCACGUGGACGAGCUGCUGAGGAGCUGCUGGACGUGAUCGACUACGUACGACUACGUUGAUCGACUACGUACGACUACGUGAUCGUCUUCACUGCAUCGACGCAUAUCUACAUCUUCCGCACCAGUAGUGCGUCGAGUGGUAAUCCCGUGAUCCUUAUACGGCAGUUCUUCCUGGUUAUACGCGGUAGAUUUUUUGAAUUGCGCUAGUGUAGCCUACCUCGUAUCCCAACAAGCGUUGCUUCCACUAAAUUUUUGAUGGAAUUGCAAAAUACUGUUGGCGCAGCUGGAGAGCCAUAUAGCAAACCCUCAUUGCUUCUAUGGAUUGAUCCUGUGCCCAAGGGUUUUGCUCCGCCCCAGUCUAUGCUGGACUACAACAAGGCUUACGGGACGGAUCUUAAGGAAAAGUUACUGGUUGUCCAUGUGCCCGGGUUAGGUGAGGAUGACGAUCCUUUCAAUCCUUCGCAUUGUUUUUGGAGUGCAAAAUUCUGAUUAGCCUCGAGGGGGUUAUUGAUUUGUUGCUUUAGCGUAUUUUUCACACAAAGGGAUGAAAAGCUUUUUUUUAAAAAAAACGUCAACCCCCUCCCUCAUUCCUCUGUGUGAAUUGUGUUGGUCGAUGCCUUUUUUAUCAGAGAUUGUGUCGUCCUUGGAACCUUUAUCUUUUGAAGUAAUUUUAACUAAAGUUUUUGUGUUCAAGUAUUCUAAUGAUAAGUUGACAAAAACUUGUUUUCUUGUUUUGCGGACUUAAAAAAUUCAACGAAAAGUUGGGUCGAAAUGGCAACUCUUGGUUGCUUCGACCAUAAAGCUUAUAGACCUGUGAGGUUAGAUAAAAUUUUGGAUAAAUGCUGAUUAUGUAAAGAUGAUGCUGCAACUUGCUGUUGCUUUUAGCUAAAGCUUGCGUAGAAAUGCAAGUAUUUUUCUCACACAUGAAUGCGAAGCUUGUUUGCGCAGGAACACAAGUUUUUGAGGCAUUCAAAAAAGUAAAAUUGGUGCUGCAACUUGUUGUUGCUUUUUCCCCAAUGCUUGCGCAAAAACGCAAGUUUUUCGUCGCACGAAAAUGCGAUGUUUCGGCGCAACUUAUUGUUGCUUUUGGCUGGAGCUUUGCGCAGAAAUGCAAGUUAAUAGCCUCUUCGAGGCUUGACAAACAUGAGGUAAGGGGGAAAUGUACUUCAGUAGAAUGUAAAAGGUUUACAUGGAUCCGCCUUGUUAAAAAUCUUGCCUCCAGUGUGGAGCCCCCCUAGCAAGGAAAAGAGUAUGGUUCGUUUGUAGGAAAGUAAAUGUGACAAAGUAAAUUUUGUGCCCUCGACGUUGUUUAUAGAUUUACAAGUCGAAGGCUUCUGUAAGUGUGGAGACUAGGGGUAAUAUUUGUGCAAGUUGUCCAUAUUCCAAGACUGUGGCAACUCUGCUCCAAGCUGAUCUGCGAGGUAAAAGGAUCCGCUUCGAGUAACAACAUAUGGCCCUUUCCAAGUUUCUUAUAACUUCCCGAGGUUCUCCCAGUUUUUUCUCUUUCUGAUAACUAGAUCUCCUACCUUGGUUUCUUUUUUCAUUACCUUCCUAUCCCUCCAUUUUCUUGUUUCUUGUUGAUACUUGUCAAGGUUUUCUGCUGCUUGGAGUAUGUCAACCUCUAUCAUGUCUUUAUCGAUCUUCUCAUUGUCUGUGGAAGCCUCGAUUUUGAGCACUCUUAAGCUUUCGUUCUUAAUUUCUUUAGGUGUCAUUGCCUCAGAGCCAUACAAAAGCCGGAAAGGUGUGAAGCCCGUUGCUCUUGAGGUUGUGGUGUUGUGAGACCAUAUGACCCUUGGGAGUUCAUCUAUCCAUUUCCCUUUCUUUUGGUCAUACUGCCAUAUUUUGAUGCUCGAAAAGAUUAUGAUGUUUGCUCUUUCUACAACUCUAUUGGACUGGGGGUGAUAUACUGAGGCAAAUUUUACCUUGGUUCCCAUGCUUGCACAGAAUUCCUUAAAGUCAUUACAAUCAAACUAUUUUCCGUUGUCCACUAUUAGCUCUCUAGGGACCCCGAAUCUGCAGAUGAUAUUCUACCAAAAGAACUUUUGUACAGAGCUCGAGGUUAUGUUUGCCAACGGCUUAGCCUCGAUCCAUUUGGUGAAGUAGUCGACCGCCACUACUGCGAACUUGCAGUUGCCUUGAACAGUUAGCAGGGGUCCCACCAAGCCCAUAGCCCAUCUCUGCAGCAACCAAGUUGGCAGUAUCAGUUGUAUAGGUAGUGAAGAUGCUUUUUGCUGAUUAGCUGUCUUUUGACAGGCCUCGCAAGUUUUUACUAGGCUUCGAGCAUCAAGGAUCGCGGUUGGCCAAAAAAAACCUUGCCUUAUAGCUUUGCCCACUAGAGCUUUGGUUCUGAUGCGAGAACCGCAAAAUCCACUGUGGAUUUCAGCUAGCAAUUCUUUGCCACUUUUCGAGGUUAUACAUCAUAGCCAAGGAACCGAUAUUCCAAACUUGUAUAAUUCUCCAUCAACUAUGGCAUAGCCCCUAACCCUUUGUUUCAUCCUGCUUAGUUCAGCCUCAUCGUAAGGCUCAUAAUGUCCUUUGAGAUAGGCCAUAAUUGGAGCCCUUCAGUCAAAUCUAGUGAUUGCAUCUACAACCUUCGAGGCUUGCUCCUUUGUCGAUGGUGAAUAAAUAACUUCGUAAAACACGUCUGGUGGCAUGGUUUGAUGUUGCGCUGCUGCUUUUGCUAAUCUGUCUGCUUCAUCAUUUUCUGCCCUUGGGAUGUGUUGGAUUGUAAAUCCCUUGAAAUAUUUUUCCAUUGAUCUCACUGGGGCUAGGUACUUCACGAGCUCUGGCUCUCUAGACUUGCUCUCUUUCUCGAUGUGCUCUUGUAUUACUUUUGAAUAUGUUUUCACAAUGAAUACUUGUUGGCCCAAAGCCUUCACUUUCCUUAGCCCCAGAAGCAAUGCCUCGUAUUCUAUAGUGUUGUUGGUAGACCUUGCUUUGUCUUUGAAAUCAAGCCUCGCAGCGUAUCUUAUUUUCACACCCGAGGGUGAAGUGAUGAUAGUCAACACUCCAACCCCCUUAUCACACCAAGCCCCAUCACAGUGUAUGAUCCAUGGGACCAUGAUCUCAGUUUGGCUAUUGCAUGGAGAUGUCCAGUUUACUAUGAAAUCAGCUAGAACCUGUGAUUUGAUUGCGCUUCUUUUUUUCGAAAUCCAUCAUGUACUCGGACAAUUCUGAUGCCCAUUUUGUUAUUCUUCUCGAGGCUUCUCUAUUUGUAAAUAGGUUGUGAAACGGCUGGUUGGUGACUACUACUAUUCUAUGGGCCUCGAAGUAAUGUCUUAGCUUGUAUGCUGCCAUGAUUACGGCAUAGACAAUUUUUUCUAACUCUGAGUAGAACAGCUUUGACCCUAAUAGUGCUUCUGAUGCAAAAUACACUGGCGUUUGUCUUGGUUUGUCCUCGAUUUCUUUUUCUUGGACUAAGGCAGCACUGACUGCAAAGCUCAAGGCUGACAAAUACACCAGCAAGGGGGACUUUGGCUCGGGAGGGCACAAUUUCGUCAUGUUUGUUAGGUAAUCCUUUAGUUCUAUGAAGGCUUUGCUCUGUUGUUCUCCCCAUUCGAAUUUUUUGGAGUUUCUCAAUACUUGGAAAAAGGGGAGGCUUCUUUCAGCAACUCUUGGGAUGAAUCUGUUGAGGGCUGCUAUUCUUCCUGUUAGUUUUUGCACAUCUUUUAUCGAAACUGGUUCUUUCAUGUCGAUUAGGGCCUGGAUUUUGUCUGGAUUAGCCUCGAUGCCCUUGGUUGAGACUAGGCAUCCCAGGACCUUGCCUCGUUGAAUUUCAAAUACACAAUUUUCUGGAUUCAUCUUUAAGUUUGCUGCUCUCAGAUUGGCAAAGGUUUUUGCGAGGUCAUGAAUAUGAUCUUUACAUUUGUCACUUUUUACUACGAUAUCAUCCACGUAAGCUAGGAUGUUUCUUCGAAGUUGUGUGCUUAGGACUAUUGCUAUCAUUUUUGAGAAAGUUGACCCUGCAUUCUUGAGACCCUCGGGCAUUCUCACAAAGCAGUAUGUCUCGAAUGGAGUGAUGAAACUCAUCUUUUCCUCAUCCUCUCUUUUCAUUUGUACUUGGUGAUAGCCUGAGAACAUAUUUAGUAGUGACAACAUUUCACUAUUUGCAGCGUUAUCUACUAUCUUGGCAACCCUUUCUAGCGGUAAGUCAUCUUUUGGGAAUGCCUUGUUAAGGUUAGUAAAAUCUAUAGACAUUCUCCUUUUGUCGUUUUUCUUCUUGACUGGAACUGUAUUUGCCAGCCAUUCAGGAUACAUGACCACACGUAUUACAUUGGCAUUAGCUAGCCUUUGAACCUCUACUUUAAUAGCUUGUAUCUUGUCUUCUGACAUUUUUCGAAGCUUUUGCUUUUUAGGUCUCACACCUUUAUUUAUUUCAAUCUUGUGUUCUAUUAUAUCCCAAUCGAUUCCUUGUAGGUCACUUGUGGACCAUGCGAAGACAUCUUUGUUUUUGUUCAAGAAUUCAAUUAGCUAUUUUUCUUCAUCGGGCUCAAGGUUGGCCCCAAUUAUUACGGCUCUGUCUAGAAUAUAUUCAUCUAGCAACACUCUUUUGGUUUCACCGUCAGCACUCAUUUUUGUAACAACCUGGCCUAAUUAAACUGUGUUUAACCCUAAGUGAAGCCAUUAGAGCGUAAGAGAGCAAUUAAUAGCUUUUUGGUCAAGUAAAAUGUUGGUUUUGCCCCUCAAGAGCUUAAAGAGUGUUUAUGUAGUAAUUCAAAUUUUUAUAUAAGAACUUAAAACUUUAUCCAACUAAUAGUUGUAGAACUCAUCUUCCCUAACAACUUUUGUUUUUGGUGUUUUGUUUGAAUUUGAGUAGAAGGCCUUCAAAAACUCAAAAUCCAAAUCAGUGGUAAAGUAAGCAAAACAGGAAAAGUCCUAACUUUGGAGCCUUUUUCUCAAAAUUUCUAAUAUAAUCUCAAGACAAACCUUAUAUAAAAGUUUUAGUACUACAAGACCUUAACAACUUUGAUUAUUGGAGUUAGGCCAAAAUCUUCACAAAAGGUUUUCAAAAAUGAGGUCAAACUCAGCCACAUUGGUCAACUCUGUCGAGUCUACUGAAAUUGCUCUAAGUCUUAAAAACGUGUGUUUAGGCCAACUUUGAACCCCUAUAAGUCCAAAUCUAUUUCAUUUUUGAACAAAUUUCAUUUAAAAGUUUUGAACUUGGAUAUGAGGACUACAAGUUUUGUAAAGGAAGAUUUGGGCGUGCAAUUCAAAAAUUUUGAGCAAACCAGCCCCAAAAUCCUGACCAGUUCAUUGCACCUCGUGAACUCCCCGCACCAGAGCGCGCGCCAGCGCUCCACACGCCGCUCGCCGUGCGCCACUUCGCCUCGCCCGAGGGCGCGCCCUGCCCGCUGCUCUGCUCCGAGCUCACACCUCUGUGAUGCUGCCGCCUCCGGCACCAAUGGCGUGCCCUACAGCUUUGCCUAGUCGCGCCUGACCAUGCCCGGUGCUGCGUCGACCUUAUCCUCGACGCCGUGGCAUCCUUAUCUCCUCGCCCGGCCACAAAACAGCCCUCUGCUAAGUCUCUUUGCUCCCAAACCUCCAUUGCCCCAUAACAUUGAGCUCCACAACAAGUCUCUACUCCCCGGCAAAAUCCACCCAGCUCUAGCCAUCUCGCUUUAAUAGCUCACGCCCUACGCUUCUACACUCCCUUGGCUCCACUCUCGACAACUCCUUGCUGCUCGCCAUCCACGGAAUAGACGGGAAUCGAAGUUCCCCCAAAGUUCCAGGAACUUUUCAACCACCGAUUCAACCCCAACGUGGUGCCUCUACUCCUGGCCUCCCUCGCCGCCAACCAACGCCUCAAAUGGAACCUAGGUGAGGUCCUGACCGUGAUGCUCGCAUCCGUUUUCCGUUUUCAUCGAGUUUCCUCGCUCGUUCCCUAGCGUGUCACCGGCCGGGCGCCGCCACCCCGAGCCCCUGUGCACUGCCCCCUGUUCCCCUACCUUCGCCGCGCCAUGGAGACCCCUUGGCCUGGGCAUGGCACCACCCUCUCCCUUAGCGCUACCGCACCUUCUUCCCCCCUCCCCGGCCGGCAGUGUGCCCCCAUGCGUGACAAUCCUGUGCCUUUGCGAUUUGUUCCGAGGAAGAAGAUAGGAGUGAGUUGUGAGAAGAAUAGAAGUCUAGGGGGUCAUGGGAUAAAGUUCAGGAGUUAUGUUUAAGGUGGAAAUCUGUCCAGGGGUGUAGGUGCAAAAACCAAGGACCUUUGCACGAUUAAUUAGUAGACUUGAGGGCUAGAUUGCAAGAUUGCCUCGGUUUUCUUUAUUUCCUAGAUCUGAAAAGGCUGAAGCUUUGAAAAGGCAUAGAAAAGUGUAGAAAAAUGCUAAAGAUGCAAGAUGAAUUUUGUUAGACUCGGUAUUAUGUGUAGUUUCAUAUAAAAAUAAGUUUGCACAUGUCUCUGUUAGAAUUAAUAUUAUAUGAUUUAAUCCUUUUUUAAGUAUUUAAAUCAUAGCAAAUCACAAAAAAAUGCUAAAAAGGUAAAUCCAACUCUCAAGUACUUGUCUCAGAGAAUAGAAUCUUGGAAAAAUUAUUUGGAGCCUAGCUCAGAUGUUUAAGUCUCUGUUUUAGUUUUAUAACUGCAAUCUAAAGUUUAAAUUAUCUUUUGCAUAAUAUUUAAUCCAAAGAGGAGAAAAAUUUGAAACCAAAUGGAGUGGAUCAGUGAUGAAGUGUAGUUCACAAGGAAAGUAUGAAACCUUAUCUGAAAGUAAAUAAACCCCACUCUCUCCUUUUUAGAGAAAGAUAAAUAGGAGUAAUAUAUGUGAAAUAGAGACCCUUCGCCAAAAAUUAUGAGAAAUCCACCAAAGGCUCUGUAUCACCCAUAUAACUCACUGUUAAAAUUUCAUACCCAGAUUCAUUAUGAUUUGUGAUUUAAAAAUAGUUAAGUACAUGCUACCUUAGGGUAGUGACACCGUUUUAAUUAUUUUUGUACACCUCAUAUGGAUCUCAAAGUUAUGCAGUAGCUUAUUAAUGACAAAGUUAAGUUGCUGUUAAAUGUGUAGCUUCAUAGCUUGCUGUUGGUUAAUGAAAUAAAAUUUGGAAGAUGGACCUAAUUAAAUGGAAGAAAGAAACAUUAAGUAAUAAUAAUGGUAAUUUUCGGAAGAGGUACAGAAAAACACUUAGAAAUAGGAUAACUUUCCCGAUGAACCUUGAGCAACCCUAGAAUGACCCCACCUUUCUUCAUGAAGUCUAAGUUGUAAAACCUUAUAUGUGUACACAAUCACCAUCAAAGUCAACCCCGAGUUUUAUAUCACAACACACCUUACCUCAUGAUGAUAAUGAAAGUGUAGAAUCAUGUUUAGGUGAAUAUGGGCGUAAUGUAAUUUACACUCCAGCAAUAAUUCAUGUUUUGCAUCCUGCAUAAGAAAGCAUGGAAGAUUGAACUUGUUGCAUUUGCAUUUCGUGUAGAAGUGAACCUUGCUGACGGCACGUACGAGCUGCACCCGGCAUCGGAAGAAGAAGCCAUAGCGGAUCUGCACCACGCCGGAGUUGAGCCCGUGCCAGAGCAAGCCAAGGACUAGUUCGCUAACUCCAAGUGUGAAGGCAAGCCCCGGAGCAUGAUUCCUAUCUUUAACUACAUGCAAUAUAUUUAAUUGCUUUGAUUGCGCAUUUACGUUCCAGGAGUUGAUUGAAACCGUAGAUGCAUGAACUUAGUACCCUUGAUAUGAACACUAGUAUAUUAAGUUGAGUAGUUGAAAUGCUUAAUAGGACUCGGUAAAAGUCGAGUGAUUGGCUGUCACUCGCGAGUUAUAGGAUUUGAUUGCUUUACUUAUGUUGCAACUAUAAGGACGAUGGACGAGGCCGGGCUUAUGUUUGGUACUUGAUGGUUUGUCCCAUCUGUCUACAUGAAAUUGGACUAAGGUCGAGAUGUGAUAGUGUUCGUGAUCAAGUGUUUGAAAGUACUAAUCUCAUACCUAGUAUGGGAUAGGGAAGCCUAGUACCUGAUUGAACUAGGAUGUGAGCGGAUCGCCCCACUGUCUCUGGAAACUGAGUUUUCCCUUGGUGCAUCAUGUGGUGACAAGUGCGGUCAUAGUACGGCGUAGUCCGGGUCUCUGGAGCCUUGUACCAAGGGAAGUGGGCUCAACACGGAUCUGGGAAUCGAUGGGGAUGGCUGACAAGUGAAGCCGCCCUUCGUGGCAUGCAGAUAUCGUGGGAUUAGGUUCGCCAUGCAUGGUUAAGAAAUUCGAUUCGAAUCGUCUGCCUCUCACAGUUUGGGAUUGCCUGAUCGCUAUGCUACACCGGCAACAUUCCAGAACAUCUGCAAUACUAUGAAAUUCAACAGAUUUUAGCGUAAAAAUCUGUCAAUAGAUAAAUAGACAUUCUCAUAAUAAAUAAAUAAUAACAGCAUACAAUCCUUUCUAAAGGCAAAUUUGCACACACUUAUAAUGUUGACCUUUGUAUACACUCAAACUUGCUUUAAUUUGGGUGUAAUAACAUCACUGUAACAUCCAAAAAGAGCCUUAUCGCGCAAUAGGACCUCCGCCCAUUCUUGACAUCUUUCCAAAAUUAUGACCCAUCUUAAAUGCGGUGCUGAUCUGGCUCAUGUGAGUUGACUGGCUAUCAGCAGCGUACACAUUAUAGCUCAAGUCGAGGUCGCUGCUACUAUGCUGUAGAAGCUUCCCCUUCUACCACCUCUAGUGUGGUACCCCUCCCCGAGCUCGAGGCAUUCUUGCAACUGUGCCACUACAUCGGUCAUUGUAGGUUGUUGCAUUGGCGCCUGCAUGGUACACUUAAGUGCGAAAUCCGCGACCUUCCACACACUGUUGACAUCAUACUCUCCACGCAUUCGCGUGUCAACAACAUCCUCAAUGUUGCCUUGAGCCAAGCGCCGCCGCACCCAUUGAAUGAUGCUGGUGGGCUCCGGGUCGGAUUGGGUGGCCUGCCUCCCCGUGACCAGCUCCAACAGCACGACACCAAAGAUGUAAACAUCACUCUUGGUUGUUGGUUGCAUAGUUGCUUGAUACCUGAAAGUUUAGGUUACAUGCAUGUAUAGCUCAUAUUGGUCUCAAAGGAAUUUGACACCAAACAGAUUUAAGCUAUAAUGAGAAUAAUACUUGAAAUUGGAAAAACCUAAUCUCCCUUUACAAUGGGUAGGGCUUCCCUUUUAUAGUGACCCAUGAGCUACUUUGCAUUCUGAAAAUGUCCUUUCUCAACCACUACAUUCCUAGGAUAUGUCGUACAGAAAGGUCAUUGGAGGAAACAUAUACAAAUUGAACUCUUCCACGUGGUCACGUUUCUCACGCCUUCCGCCCUCUAACCUCGGGACUUCGUCUUUACUUUAAGUUGAUCAUCUAGCUUCGAGGCUCCAUCCGCCAUCCGAGAUGAACGUCCAGCCUCGAGGCACCUGCUUCGUUGAGCCUUGUUGAGAGUUCAUAACCUCGCAUAGUUCUUCUCCAAGCAUGUUCCUAAGUAAAAAGUAAAAAGGUAAAAGCUUGGUGCCCGGAACCGACUCCUAACACUCAAGGGUUGGCUCAGUUGGAGUUUAGCCAUUACUGUUGUCAAUCACUAGCCUCGGGUCCUUCUAGUAGCAAAAGUGAUGCAAGAGUAUGAGUUUUACUAUUAGAGGUGUCUCUAUAGAACGUGCAAGGUUAAAGGAGUUCCGUUUUCUUUACUGCCAACAUGUAACUUGCGAGGUUAAUUUCGAGCCCUGCUAACGACGUUCGAGGGUAACUGAGUUUUGCUUCUCGGUUUAAAACUUGCGAGGUUAAUUUCGAGCCCUGCUAACGACGUUCGAGGAUAACUAAAUUUUGCUUCUCGGUUUAAAACUUGUGAGGUCAGUAGGGCUUCGCGCGUAACUGAGUUUAGGUUGCAUGCAUGUAUAGCUCAGAUGUAGAGCGCAAUGAAAAAUUUGGCAAUGGGCACAUGAUUGACGUACUCUGGAUCGACGCAUCCGGGUGCACCAACAAGAGUAUUCAUGGAUAACUGAGUUUCGUCAUCAUGAUUGAAAACCUUGGACAAGCUGAAGUCAUCAAUCUUGGCCUCCAGUUCCGCGUUUAGAAGGAUGUUAGUUGCCUUCACAUCCCUAUGAAUGAGAGGUGGGUUGCACCCCUUGUGUAGAUACUCCAACCCUACAAGUAUAUUAAUGUUCAUAUUUUAGGCAAAAACUAAAACUCCACUAUCAAUUGCCCUACAAAUUAAAUCAAUGAAGAGUAAUGUAAACCAUAUGUCAUAUAGAUUUUCAAACUAUUGAUUUACACUACCAUGUCUCUGAACUUGCUAAGGUGGUUCACCCGAUAUCAAAAAACUGAGAUCAAAUCGUUUUGGUUGUUGAUGUGAACGCUAAUGGACUACAGAGAAGCAUCGGGGGAGGGGGGGCACCUAAUUUAAAUCAGGGAGCAAACACUAGAACAUAGGGUUAAAUUCUUCUUGAUCUACAAGGUUUUGCAGGUAAAAAACAGAACCAUGAGGAGGCCAUGGCCGUGCCAGCCCCCUACUGGCUCGUCACUGCUAGAGAGAGAAUGAUGAAAGAUGAUGUUAGGAGAUGCUAUGUGUGUCCCCUAAUUUUUUUAUUUUUUUCAUUCAUUGGAUGGCAUGUGAGGCAUAGUAGAGUUGUAAAUUGUAUUACUAAUUUUUUGUUUGUUCAUUCACACGGGCAAUAAAACAAUUGAGAAAAGACCAUGAACAUGAGUUUCAAAUGUGAGGCCUGGUAGUGAUAGGAACAAUAAAGUGGCAAAAUCAAGACAUGGAUGCCACUUGGAAAAUAUUUGGACGACGACCUGAGGUGAGCCGCUUAGUGAGUUAAAGACAUAAAACUAAAAAUUAAUAGUUGGGGGACAUAAUACCUUGAGCUGAGUCCAAAGCAAUUCGAAGCCUCUGCCUCCAGGUUAAGCGCUUUCCGCUGCGGCCAUUUCCUGCAAACGAAUAGAUAAAACGAGAUACUCAUAUCUACAUAGGCACUUCAUAAAUGACCCUAUCACCAUAUAGAUGAACAACACUAAAAACUUGUCAGUUUGAAGUAUCAGGGUGUACUGUGCAAGCUGAACUCUUAACAGCUCGCAUAUGACAUACCUGCAAUCUGCUCUCGUAGGGUGCCUUCUGACAUGUACUCAUAGACAAGUGCCAUGUAUUGCCCAUCCUUACCUUAACCGAUCAUGGAAACAAGAUUCUUGUGAUGAAUCCGUGUUAAGAUCUGAGCCUGAACAAAUCAUCGGCCUGAGUGAUCAAAUUCCGCAGUAUCUUUGCAAAAAAAAAAUCUUGAUUCAAAUUCUGAAGAAUUCUACAGAAACUCUUUGACACCCUGUUCGGAAGACUGAGACCGCAGCUUAACAGCCACCCGAGUGCCAUCCUCCAAGAACCAUCAUAGACUUUCCCGAACCCUCCUCGGCCGAGCACGCGCUGGAAGUUAUUUGUGAUAAUCUCCAGCUCUUGUACGAGAAUCUACGGUUCUCGAGGUGCAACGGGCUCUGCGUGCACCUGGUGGCAGUGGCGCUGGUGCAUAGCUCAUCGGCGGCUUGUUUUGAGGCCUCACGGUAUUGUUCAUCGACGUUGAUCCUGAAUGGGAUAUGCAACAACAACAAACAUUAGUAUUUGUUCAUGAUGUGGCGAAAUUGCAAGGGCGUAGACAGUUUGAUGCAUGUCACCUUGCUUUUUGCGUCUCAUGAAGAGAAAGAGCAGUGCUACCACUGAUACCAUCACCACAACCAGAACUAGAGGGACAGCAAUGUAGAUGGCAAGUUUGCUCUUCCCCUUUUGCGGCUUACAUGAAUCGGCGUUGGUGCAAAGGUUUGGGUUAUUGCCAUAUCUACAAACAUGAAUAAAAUGAAAACUGUUUCAAUAAAGUGUUGAUAUUAAAACUGUUUGAAUCAAAGUGUCAAUAUACUUCGCAAAACAAAAAUAGAUUCAUAUAAUAAUCCACCGUAGAGUUAGGGAGCCAUCUUGAAUUCUUUUGACAAGUCCAGCGGGAAUUGAUCCACUCAGCUGGUUGCUUGUUAAAUCUCUGGAAGAAACGAAAUGCUACUGGUGUCAGUCGACAUGGGGGUGGGUCAGGCGAAAAAUAUUUUUAGCAACUUACAGAACUAAUAGUGAUGACAAUUGUGAAAGGGCAUCAGGAAUGGAGCCGGACAGAUUGUUGUAUGAUAGGUCCCUGCAUCAUAUAUAAAUAUGGCAAUGUAAAUAUUUUUUUUACUGAUUUUGUUUCAUAAGCUAUUUCAAGGUUGAAAAUGAUCAAGAACUCUAUACUUACAAAUAUUGGAUGGCCUUGAGCUUUGCGAAAGAAGACUACAUAUCGCCAUGAAGACCACUAAAGGACGUGUUUCUGCAAAAUGUCCUGAAAAAUCAGUUUGACUAUACUUUUCUUUAUCCCUUUUUUUUUAAGAUACUAACUACUCCUUCCUGGCGCCAAUACAUGAAGUCUCAAAGAGGAUCCAGUCAAAAUAAUAUUUUCAGACUUCUUUUUUACUAUAUGUACUCCCUCAAUUUGAAAAUUAUAAGGCAUAUUUUGUUUUGUUAACACAAGCCUUUGACCAACUAUUCUCUAUUAAUAUAUAUUUUUUGUGACACUCAGCUAAUCAUUUAGAUUAACAUUCAAAACUACUCUCUUAUGAUUACACUUUCAUAUCAAGUGUAAUAUUAAUAGAGUAAUUACUAGUUAAAGUCGUGUCCUAACAAAAUGAAAUAUGCAUUAUAAUUUCAAAUGGAGAGAGUACCUUUAUAUUUAGUUUGAACAAAUGAUAACUAUAUAUGUGGAUACAUCCUAGAAGGUAAUUUCAUAAUAUCAUAAGUUUAUUAGAUUUAUAAAGAAUAAAUGGAUAGAAAAGAAUUAGUUGUUAAAGAUAAACACCAAAUAGGGUAACUUUUAUUUUGGAAUAUUUUCAUCGUAUAAAGAAACGCCAUCUGAGGCAUUUUCAACAAUACCAUUAAUUCAUGGUAAUAACAUAUAGGUCCAGAUCCUACAUAUCAUUGACUAGCUUGGUGGUAUGGAUGAACAUUGCAACAAGUCCGUUUACUCUCUUAUAAACAAUUCAGUUUUCCUCAAUUUUGUUUGAGGGAUAGAUGCACAAACUAAAUUAUUUGAGAGAGCAAAGUAGACUUUUUCUUAUAUAAAAAUUAAUCCUAGCAUAUUUUAUUUUGAAAUUAAAAGUAGUUUCAUAAAGAAAAUAAAUUAUGAAUUUAUUAUGGAAAAAGUAGCUUCGUCUAUUCGUGUCUAAUAUAAGAUGUCAAUUAUUUGUGAUUUGUGAUUCGGUACUUACAUGCUGGUGAUUCUCGAAGGAUUAUUGGAACUGGCGUAGCUGCAUGUCAACCCAUCCCACGUAAGAUUUUUGGGAACGCAGGGGUCACCCGCCCAGUUUCUUCUGCACCUGAUACUUGGCCUUGAUCGCCGCGAUUGCAGAAACUGUUAAUUGCACCGCAGUUUUCAUUAACACAUACCCAUUGUUUGCUUAGUCAUAAGCUCAUAUGCAUGCUCAUCAUAUAUGUUUGUCUACAUGUACGUACCGUCCGAGGAGUCCGUGCCGACAUUGCUGGUGGAGAUGACGAAAAAAACCUCGCCGGCGUUGAUGAUCGGCGGUAGCGUCGAGUUGGCAGUGGCGUCGAUGGAGAAGUUGUACCGCGCGAAGCGGCCCAAGGGCUCGGUGUUGUAGAUGCAGUCCGAGAGGAGGUACGGUGGCCUGUAAUUGUGCCAAAACCACAUGUCCUCGUUGAGGGUGAUGUGUUGCUGUCGCACAGCUCGGAGAAGUGGAAGAUGGCGAUGUACCCCACCGUCGGGUCCCCGGGCUGCGGCUCGGAGAACCAGUAGAACUCGAUGCUGUUGGAUCCGUUGCGCGGAGUGAUCGCCGUCUGCAUCACCUCGGACGGCGCCAUUACGGGAAGAGGUUUUUUACGAUGCACAAUACUAGCAGGUGGUAGUAUAGAGUAUAAGUCCUUUUUUAGCAUGGGUAAAAUUGUAAUUAGCGCGGCAUAUAUUAUUUGGAGAAUUUUUUUUCUGCUAGUCAUUUUCCUCACACGCCAGUCCCCCGCGAGCCCAUUCCCUAUGCGCUGCCAGUCUCCCGCCACUGGCACACCGCCCCGCCCCCGCCCGCACGCCGCGCCGCCACCACCCGCACCCUUUCCCCACGCGCCGCCAGUUUCCCACCGCCGGCACGCCGCCCCGCCCCCGCCCGCACGCCGCGCCGCCACCACUCAGCCACCGCCACCGCCGCCUCGCCAGCACCGCCCGCACGCUGCCACGCCCUUCUCCCCACGCGCCGCCACUCCCCCACCUCCCACAUCUCCAGUAACAGUAUGCCGUAGCUAUAGACAUCACCCUGGGUGGAGACCUCCUUGCCCAAUCCCACAUCUACAGUUCCAGGAGGUCUUAUUUUGUAAGAAAGUGACCUUUCCAAGAAUUUGAGUAUGUAAUAACAUGUUUCUUGCAGUAUUCAUUUAUGCAACUAUAAAACUCUUUGUUAUAUUUAUUUACAAAUAAGUGUGAAAUAGCUUAUUUAUUUUUCCCUUAUUAGGAAUUUACAAGUUUCAGCUAUUUUCUGACCUACUCUAGAAAAUUGAGUUUCAUUGAACUUGUACUUAUUUAAGCGAGAGAAAUAGUAACAAAGUUUUAACUUACAUAAAACCUAGCACUGUAAACUUUUAUUAGAAGAGAAUAGAGAGCUGUAGCAAAUGGAACCACAACUGGACUAAAGCUCCCAGCCCCAAUGAGGUUAUCAGAUGAAAAACCAUUAGUUGCGUGGGCCAAUUCAGCAUGAUACCCUCAUGUGUUGUUCACCAAUGACUGAGCUCUGUUGGUUUGCUUUUAUUUUUUAUUCUUUCUGUAUAAUGAAGACAGUGCAAAUUCUAAUGCAACAAAAACACAACCACUGCAUAUGGCAACUAUUAUGGCAAGUUUUUGCAAUGGCUUAUUCCUGGAGUGGUUAGAGUAGGGUGGCAAUUUCAGUUGAGGGUUACCACCACAAAGGCCAUCAUUUCCAGCAUUGGUUAGGUCACGCGGUGUAUUGCUUAGCUAAUUGCUGCUGAUUAUUUUAAUAUUAACCUGCAAUUGCAGAUGUGGUAAGCUUUGUUAGUUAGGUUGGGAUGAAGAACUUCAGUUCCGUCCUAUGUUGAUACGAAGGUUUUCUUUGAAAUGGUUGUGAUACGUGUAAUAUUUUUUGUUGCAGGUUACCGUAAUGGAGGCAGAAGGGUAUGUUAGCCUGGAGGAAACUAAAGAAUAUAAGUGUAUUGUAGAUCAGAUUUUUACGAGGGAGGAAGAUUUCUAUGAGUUUUACAAUGAUUAUGCAUACCAUAAAGGAUUUAGUAUCAGAAAGGAUAGAGUUAGGUACAAGACAGGCACCAAAGAGGUGAUAUGGAGAAGACUCAUGUGCUCCUGUGAAGGAUAUAGAUCUGUUAAGUACUUUGAAAGGAUGGAUCAAAAAAGACAGCCGCGUGCCCUCACCCAUUAUGGAUGCACAGCUAGGCUUGAUGUGGAGUGGAUUGAAAGUAUUGCCAUCUGGUAUGUGAAGGACUUUAUGGAUGUCCAUAAACAUGCCCUUGCAAAACCAGAGCAUGUUUUUGUUUUGCGGUCUCAUCGAGGGCUUAAUGAUCCUCAGAAAGCGGAGGCAAUCGAGAUGGGACUAGGUGGGCUGCGUCCAUUUUAGAUCAGGGAUGUAAUGGAGGCCAGCCACAGUGGUCCAGGCGAGACUGGAUUUCUUUCGCAGGACUUGUACAAUUUUUUUUCAAGGUAAAAGAAGGGAAAGGUUGAAGGAAGCGACGCAGAAUUUGUGUUGAAUCAUAUGUGUCAGAUGCAAGAGAAAGAUCCAGAGUUCUUUUUCACAUUUAGUGUGGAUACACAAGGCAGGUUGAAGAACCUAUUUUGGUCGGAUGCACAGUCGCAGAUAGACUAUGGUGUUUUUGGAGACAUCAUUGUAUUCAACAGCACUUACCGAGUGAACCGGUACAAUCUUCCAUUUGUCCCUUUUAUAGGAGUUAACCAUCAUUGAAGCACAGUUGUCUUUGGCUGCGGUAUUUUAUCGAAUGAAACUAUCUUGUCAUAUGUGUGGCUCCUCGAGGCUUUACUGGAAGCGAUGCACCAGAAGCAUCCAAAAUCCUUAAUCACUGAUGGGGACGCAGUGAUGAUGAGAGCUAUUGAGAUUGUCAUGCCUGAUGCAGAUCACAGAUUGUGUAGUUGGCACAUAGAGCAGAACAUGAUGAAACAGUUCCGUGGUUCGAAGCUCAAGGAUUUCAAGAAGUUCAUAUACCAUGCAAUGGAGGGUGAAUUUGAUAGGCUUUGGAGAGAGUUUAGAGGUACCCAUAAUAUCAAAGAAGAUAACCUAUGGGUAAAUAGGAUGUAUGAACUUAGAAGGAAGUGGGCUGCCACAUUCACAAGAGGGAGACAUUUCUUGAGCCUGCAAAGCAAUCAGAGGAGCAAGAGUCUAAACUCUUCACAACCAUUUAGACCAAAAGAUGUCCUUGGUUGAUUUAAUGGAGCAUUACGAGUUCUGCCUAUCACGCAUUUGUCAGAAUGAGAUUGAGCUUGAUGCAAAGGCGCUAUGUUCUAUCCCGUUCACUAAGAUUUCUGUUGAUGUUCUUGAGAAAAGUGCUGCGCAGAUCUUCACACCAAAUAUUUUCUAGAAAGUGAGCUUCCAGAUUAAAAAAUCAAGUAAUUGGUCGGUGACAGAGGUGACAUUGCAGAAUGGGUGUUUGAGGUAUGAGGUUUCAUUUCAAGGCAACAACAAGCGUUGUUUUCACGUGACUUGUACCUUUGGGUCAUCGUUGAUUGAUGCUAGAUGCCAUUGCCGGAAGCUAGAGUGGGAAGGAAUUCCAUGUGCGCAUACUUUCUGCGUCAUGAAGUAUUCUCGUAUAGAGAGCAUCCCUCCUUGUUGUGUUUACCUGAGGUGGACUAUGAAUGCGAAGAGUGCUUUCCCAACGGAGAUGCGUACCAACAUGCAUGUUUGGACAGAACAAAUGGAUCGUUACCAUUUCUUUCGCUCAAAGGGCAAUCGUGCUUUAUUCAAAGUUUCUAGGAGCCAAGGUGAGACGGAGAGGGUAAUGAAGUUACUUGAUGAUAUUUUGAAAGAAGACACGCAUGAGCAAGGGAUGGAAGAGGAGACGCCAUUUGGGCCAUUGCCGGCUCAUUUCUCAGCAGCCAACCAGCCUGGUGGCACCAAAGUACUCGAUCCGGUGAAGAUUGUUUCAAAAGGUGCUCCGCGAUCCAACAAGAGGUGGAAGGCAAGCCAUGAAUUCUGGGGAACUGUUUGAAAAUGUGCAGGUUAGAUAGUUAAAUUUUGUAUUUAUGCCACGAAUAUAGUUAUAAGUAGCACAUGAGUCAUGACAGGGAUGUCUUUAUUAUUGUAUAACUAACCAUGUUUGUUAUAGAUUUUCCUGCAUCUGCUUCUGAUCACUGUGUCUCAUUCAGGUUGCGCGCACAGCUACAGAUAAAUUUAUUGUGUUUUCCUUUCUUUUGCUUCUGUGAGAGCUUUCAGUUUCAAACACAUGCACCAGUGGACCAGUUUGCUUGUGAAACAGUGGACCAGGUUAGCUUGAAUCCAAUUUGACUUGUGAUCCAGGCAUUGUUGUUGCACUGUGGUUAACUGCUGAGUUUGCAUUUGCAGGAAGUGCUCUUCCGAGUUGCUGGUUUACCUAUGGUUGAAAACUGAAUGGCUGGAUACAACCGCUGCGUUUUUGCCUAUGGACUGGUCUUUAUCAAAUUCAUUUGUAAUUUAUUUGGUGCCAAUGGGAUGCUUUCCAGCUCUUGAAUUUUUCAACUGUUUUCAGACUGGAAGUGGGAAAACAUAUAUUUAUUACUGAUUAGAUGAUCAUGUAUCCCAUUUACCAGUUUUGAACAAACUGUUGCUUUUGCAAAUGAAGAAAUGUUUGGGAACUACCCUGCAGUUUUUCAUCAAAAAGAAAGUAUGACAUGCACUAUAAUCCCCAUUUUGUUGUAUGAAAACCACUUUUGCAGGAAGAAGAGAGCAGGAGGGAUGAAAAUUUGACUGAAUUCGAAGUUGGCUGUCUGAAAAAAUGUAUCUUUCGACUGAUUGAAGCACACUGUCAUUGCUAAAAAUCAAACAAGAAAAAGCAAAAGAUACAUUGUAGGGAAAAUAUAGUGCAGAGCAUUCACUAACAAAUCCACAGUAGCUAUAUCUACAACACUGGUAUCUGUCAGGUGAUCGUGCUGAACCUGGAGAUCAAGUUUAAAAAGAUACAUUGUGAGAAAGAAAACAAGGUUAGUUCAACUUCUACUGGUAUAAUUUAUUCAGGACAGACUGCAAUGCCUCUUUAAACUCAACCUUAACAGCAACUUUUUGUCCAUCGUGGGUUCGUACAGCAUGGACUUGUGCAAGAGAAGCACUUGCUCGAACACAAAGAGGAUGACGAGACCAGGCACUUCUUCAGCAUCGAUUCUCUCAUCGUCUGCACGUACUCCUCCGGCACGACAUACUCCUGAAACAAGCAAGAAUCGUGAGAGUAGCCGCUUCCACAGUGUUUGCACCUGUAUCAUUGAGAUUAUUCUGUUGUGACAAAGAUCAACAUGUGUGCUCUUGUUAAUAUUCGUCCAAUAUAUGUGCAGUUCAGUUUUGGUUUGAAGUUCAGAUUUGUGUUUGCCAGGAAGAUUCAUUCUGUUUCUUUUUAUGGCUUUGGUGUCCUGAAUUCUGAUGACAUAUGUCUGGAUUAUUUGUGCAACUGAAACAUUGGAAACUAGAAGGAAAGAUCCAGUGACGACGACGACGACAAAGACGAGCGGGACGACGACGUUGGGCUUGGCCCGGCCGAACAUGCAGAAUUCACACGUACAGGUAACAGAUAGAGAAUUCAUACGUGCAAUAAAAUAUUCAAUUUGAAUACUAACUCUAUCCAUCAUCUCCAAGACAGAAUUCACACGUAAAGAUAACAGAUUCAAAUUGGUAGGGGAUAUCCAGAUAUCCAUACAGUACAAAUUCCUAUAUGAAUAAAUACCCCCUAUCUGGGAAUUUGUCUCACGCCUCCAUCUCCUCAACAUGGAGCAGAACCAUACACCUGACGCACAACACAAGGAGCAUGCCCCACCUGCGCGACUUGAUCCAAUUACACCUACGUCAUCCUAUCCAUUAAGUUCAAUCUUGCCUGCAACAAUACAGUUUGUGAUCAGUUUAUCAAUACGACGUGACAUGGAAAAAUUUAUAUUUGUCCAAAUUUUUUAAUCAGAUUCAUUCAUCCCAGGAAAACAAUGGGGUACAGGCCAUGAACUCGAGUAGCUUGGUUCUUAAUUUCUUGAUUAGAAGCCUACGGGAAUACAGGGAGGUAAAGCCAGCUAAUCUUAAAGGGAAUCUAGUUCUUUUGCAGGCAUGUACAUUGCAUAUAUUGAACAAAGAUUCAUGACACUAUGUUUAUAUUCACAGCAAACACAACUAUAAUUUUUUUAACUACAGGUCUGGUACUGGGAGAAGGUGUCUAUGUCUCAUAUGUACUCUACAUUAGAACAGCCUGGAGGGGACAAACCACUUAUGCAAUAUUGGGACGAAAAAGAGAGCCAAAGCACGAUGCAAACUAGCACGCAACCAUCAUUUUGGGGAAGGAAAGGUAAAAGUAUAUCGGACAUCAGUAACCAUCUCAUUACUUUAUAGAAACCCCAGCAACUACUAACAAAAUCCUUCUUUCUAUUUUAUAUCAGAUUGUCAAUGACAUUAGAAGAUGUAAGCAUAACAACUCAUGCUCAAUCCCCCAAUGCCACACAACAUCAGAACAAUCGGACAAGGGACAAGCUUAUAGCAAUCACAAAAUUAUGCAGGAACUUCAAGUGCCCAUUACCAAUCAGUACAGGUGUUGGCACUGAAAAUCGCCCGACGAUCCUCAGCGUCGGACACACGACCCGGGAGAAUCUGCUUAACUCCUGUUCGGGUUAUUGCCCUGGUGCAGUUCGUGCGGCGUGCCAAUCAAUCUGACCUGUUGAUUGACAAGGAAAGAAAAGUAUUAAAUUCCAGGGGUUCCGAUCGGCUAAGGUUCCGAUAUGUCUUGAAAAGCGUAUCAACGAAUCGGCCAAUUUAGUGUGUAAAUGACCGGCUAUAGAGCAGUCGAUGAUUGUGUAGCAAUUGUAAAGAAACUACUAGAGCAACUUAAACAACGCUACGAAACAAUACUUGAAACAGAUCUAAUCGGCUAUAUGAUAAUAAAUAAGAAUGAUAAUAAUGAAGCCGACAGUUCGAAUUUCAAGCUAGAUAACUGAUGAUAAAACUAGAACAAUAGAUAAAACCUAUAAUUCUAGUUAAUAUCAAUAAUUGGUGAAUAAAUUUAAAUGAAACAACAGCGAUGCGCCCGAAGUUAAAGCUUAGAUAUUACUCGAUAAGCGGAACUUACAAAUCGACCGGAGAUCGUGUCGAUGCAGCCCUACCAACCCGUACGAACUCGUGAAAAGAAAAAGGUUUUGACGAAGUCGCCGACUUGAAAAGUAAAGUACAAGGAAAAAGUAGAUUUGUUGUAUUGAUUGAUGUUGUUGUUUACAAGCCUCUCAAGGCAGCUAUUUAUACCCUAUUAUAACUAAUUUCUUAACCGAUUAGGAUCUAUCUCUAAUUUUAAACAAUAACAAAUAUUUACAAACACAACUUGUAUCGGAGUUGGUUAUUAUCUUCCAAAAGGCCAAUCUAUUUCUUCAACUGAUCUUCUUCCUGACCCACCUUAGGCCCAUACUGGCCAAGCCGCUCUGGCCCCCAAUCGGCCAACCUCUACCGACUCCUUUUUGCCAGUCGGCCGAAAUACUGUAGCUUCUAUUCGCUGCAUCGGCCCCCCUUUCUCCUCCUUUGACGCUGAUUCCAAACACGUGUCAAAAUCAGGCAUCAGCAACAGGUUACUAUCAAAUCAAAUUGAUGACAAGUUCAAUGCACUUAAUAAGCGGUUCGAUGAUGUAAUACAAGAACAACGUGUAAGUCUGUUACCAUAUUAUUUGGCAUACCUGUAACGACCGAUCCCUAAGCCUUCCAGUUAGUCGUGAUCGCAGCCCUUAGCUUUAGUCAGCUGUCUCGCUUGCCCGCACCUAAAUGCUCAGUUUUCCGCCUGGUCCCAACCCCUGAGAUCCGACCCCUUCCCGCUUCGUUCCUCUCCCGACCCCGGCGAGCUCAGCCCACCGUCGGAUUCUGCUGAUCUUCCUCACCCGUCCGAUCUAUCCACCGAUGGACCCGCGAGAUCUUUACCAGAUCCCCCGCGACAGCCGCACUCGAGUUGCAUGGCCACCUCAGAGUCUUCCUGCCGCGUGGCUCGUCUUCUCCGACGCCUGCCGCUCAGUUUGUCUCUGGCAAGCAACCGAGUGGUUUCACCCGCCCCUUUUCCCCAAUAGCAGCGGAAGCCCUCUGCACCCCUUUCUGCAGAGCCUCGCCUCCCGCGCCCAUCAUCACGCCACCAGAUCCCGGCCCCAGAGCCCGAUGUCGCCCGUCUUUUCCGUCCCUUCAGCCACAGUUGCGCCGCCCGGUCGCCGCUACACGACGAUUCCUCCACCGCCAAUCCCGACCGCGGCCGCGAUAGUUCCUUUCCCCGCUCCGUCAGAAGCCGCCCAACAAUCUGUUGUUCCGCGCUCUCCCCCGCGCCGCGUCCGUCUGUCUUCUCACCUGUGCGCCCUCGAUUCCAGCGCCGUUAAGCCGGUCGCUUCUAUCAAACCUCCCGCACGGCGACGCCCGCUUUCCGCCAAAUCUCAACCACCAGUCUACCCGCCUCUACGCCGCCCUGAUGGCAGAACGCAAUGAUCGCUUGCGUCACCCCCGGAGUUCUGCACCACCGCCCUCUUUGCUCAAUCGCCGCCCCGGCAGAGCACUCCAUUGCCUCUCCCCGGCCUUCGCGCCGCUUACCUUCUCUCUCUCCGCGCCGUUUCCUUUCUUCUGCUCCAGCAGCUAUAAAAGGAAUGCCCCCGUCGCCGGAGUUUCCCUCCGCUCUUGUUGCCUUCAGCCUCCUCUAGCUCCCUGCUCAAGCUCCUAGCGCCGCCCGCCCAGUUCUUGAGGAGUUCUUCUCUCAGUUCUCCCUCAGUUUGCUCCAAGUCACCAACAGCUUGCUCCUCGGUGCUGCAUACAAGCUCUCUUGUGAUCCGCAAUAAGCAGCGCCGCCGCCGGAGCAUUGCCAGUCUUAGCCAUUGCUCGAAGCCUUAGUCCCUCCGCCCAAGUUCGCUUCUUCCCGAUCCCACGCUUUCCUUUCAGGAAGAAGGUGAGUUGCUGACCCCAGUCCGCCUCGCCCGACCCCUCCUAUCCACCCGACCCCAGUUCCGCCUCGUCCGACCCUGUCUGUUCCGCCGACCCUUAUCCGCCUUGCCCGAGGGCUUGGCUGUGAUCUUUUUCUUCAACUCGAGGGUGUAUGUAUAAAACUUGGGAACCCUUCAGCGCUUGCGUCCAAGGACCCCAGUUAUCACAUCCUCUAGUUCAAGGAUCAGAUCACUAAUUCCUUUCCUACCCUUACCUCUUGAUCAUCAUCAGCUCUCGAACCACCAUAUCCUCCUGCUCUUUGUUGCAAGUUUCUGGGCUCAGGCGAGCCAAUGUUGCUGUGAAAUAACUGUCUAAGCUAACCCUUGCAUUGCAUUCGUGUAGAGCUGCACCUCGCCGACGGUUUCUACGAGCUUCACCCGGCGCCAGAAGAAGAAGCUGUAGCCGAGCUCCUGUCCUCCGAAGCCGAAGUCGCCCCCGAAGUCGAGCAGUUCCCGUCCUCCUUGCUUGAAGGCAAGCCCCGGUUGCAUGAAAGUCCUAUGUGUUUUACCAGACUUGCACAUGCCUUCUAUAACAUGCUUGUGCAUUUACGUAUAGGAGUUGUGUGAAACCCUAGAUGCAUGACUUAGUUAUCCCAAUGAUCUGAGCACUAGCUGUUGGACCGAGUAGUUGCACUGCUUAAAUUAGGAGACGGUAAAAGUCGAGUGAUUUCCUGUCACUCGCGAGUUAUAGGAGUUACAUGUUUACUCUCCUGUUAUAACUAUAAGGACGAUGGACGGGGCAGGUUUGGGUAACUCUUUGGUGGUUGGAUGGUCACCCCGUCUGUCUAUGAAAUCUUGCUAAGGCCCCACAGUGGUGGUGUUCGUGAUCAAGUGUUUGCAAGUACUAGUCUCAUACUUAGUAUGGGAUGAGGAAGCCUAGUACCGGAUUGAACCUAGACGUGAGCGGUCGCCCCAUUGUUCUUGAAACGGAGUUUCCCCUGCUGGUUGUCGCACGUGGUGGCAAGCGUGGUCACAGAAUGGCAAAGGCUGGGUCUGUGGAGCCUUGCACCAAAGGAAAUGGGCCCGACACGGUUUAGGGGAUUGAUGGGGAAGGCCGACACAGGAAGCGACCUCCGGGUGCGUGGAUGUCGUGAGGCUAGGUUCACCAUGCAUGGUUAAAGAACUCGAAUCGAUUCGUCUGCCUCUCACAGCUUGAGAUUGCUUGAUCGCUAUGUCACCCUGAGUAAAUGAGGAACCUAAGGAUGACAUGUUUGUUGAUAUAUCUAUACAUCUUGUUCGGUUCUAUGAUUGCUUAGAAUAGGUUGCACAACCUAGACUGGUAAUGGAACUUAGAACCUGAGCUAAAACCUGGAAAUAGGGUUUUUACUUAGUGCUUUUGGCAAACAAACCCCUCAGCCAAACAGCUUGCAUGUCUAGAAGGAGGAGUAGCCCUCACUCCUAUCGGUUAAGUCUUGUUGAGCUUAGUAGCUCAGCCUUGUUGUAGCUUCUGUUUUCAGGUGAGGUUGCUGCUUCCGACCCCUCUCUGGUUGGUGCUUGGCCGCCCCAGCUCCCGCCAGGCUGGACGGUCGAGUGGGACACCUCCUCGGACGGCGAGGAGAGGACUCAGUGAUGUUCUGGCUGGCCUCACCCGGACAUCCGACCCCGACGAAGUCUUCCGCUAGUUUUCUCGGCUGUUUUCUCGGAAUCUUGUAAAACUCUGAUGUUGGAUUUUGUGGCCAAAUUAUUUGGGUAAAACUUGUUCAACUCAGUGGACUUGUUGUUUUCUCUGUAACCACUCACCUUCGUGUGGGUUUGCUAAACUCGAUCCUGUUUAAAUGGUUAAAUCGGAGGAAAUCCGACGGCACUUCGUAUUAACUCGGUUUAGGCAGGAGUGUCGCAUGUUAGGUGGCUUAACCCUGCUUAAUCAAGCUAAUCCGAGAUGGUUCCGCCACAGCUGGUAUCAGAGCCGUGUUUAGCAUUUCAGAGAACCCAACAAGCCCUACACAUUUCUUGAAAGGGUAAAAGUUGCAAGAAGCUUUCAAAAAAAAAUCUCGUACGAUCGUUAAGGAUGACUUAGUGCGAGAGGCCCUAGGGGAUUUUGGGGUUGUUUUAGGUGACUAAUAAGUAUUUGGUUAUUUUGCUAACCCUUCCAGCACUUCGCCACGUCUAUCAUACGUGUGCCGAGUUCCGCAUCGCGAGCAUGCGAGGGUUGAUAGGGAGCUCCAUUCAAAGGACCCUAUCUUCGCGGUUGUUUUCGCUCACGUCUGUUACACGUGCGCAGGUUCCGUAUGUGUCCAUACGAAGGUUGGUACGGUUCGAUUCCAACAAACCUAUCAGCACGGUUGUUUCGCCACGUUUGUCAUACGUGUGCCGAUUCCGCAUCACGAGUAUGCGAAGGGUUAUACGGAUCCAUUCAAAGGGAGCCUAUUUCCACGGUUGAGUGCUGUCCAUGCAGCCUUAAACGCAUGGGUGUCGUUCCUAUAAUGAGCGGUAAUGUUUGGGAACGCUUUCGUGAGUGCUGGCAUGGAAGGUUCGUGUGUGGUGUUUUCCUGCAGGUUGCUAACCGCGCUCGUUAAGAGACGUUGCUAGAACCGACUAGUUAUUAUAGGGAGAGACGUAUUGUUGCCUUGUCACCGGCGCUGACCGCGUAAGACCCAAGGUUCGGGCAGUUGUUUUUGGUUAGGAGUGAGGUAGGCCGUGCAUGCGUCAUAUCUAACAAGGUUGUACGGUCCCUUUUCUCAGCAGCAACCCUGUCCGCAAGAGUUCUUUUGAUCUAAGGAUUUCUAGUUUCUCUUAGUUGCUCUCGGUGAAACCCGCCUGCUUUUCUAUCCGACCCCUGAUCCUUGGAGUUAUCUCACGUGGUUUCGGUUUUUCUUGGUUCCAGAUGGUUGUCCCUGGACAUGUGGUUUUUGGAGCGAACGGUACCUUCCAGUCAACGUGCCUGCAUUUCGAGGGGUUUCCCGCGAUUCUGUGGGAUACGCUGAAGUGGUUUGGGUAUCAGUCUCCGCCCUUGUAUGCCGGGCGGUUAUAUCUGGAACAGGGCAUUCAGACGUGCCAGGUGCAAGCGUUGGUACCACCUCCCCUUACACGGCCCGACUGGCCCUCUCUUGGCAUAAUAGCCUAUGGUCUUUCUCCGGAAGAUACAUGGGAGUCCGCCGCCCUUCAGUUGCUCACCCAGUUUUGUCAGCUGCAUCCCGUGGAGAUCACGCUAGACCCGAUCGGUCUCUUCCCCGUCAGGAACCGGCUGGACCCGGCCUGGCUUGACCGCGUCGGGAACAUCGAGGUGUUGGCCACCACCUGCGCCAUGGUCACCAUCUCCACCAACAUCCGGUGCAUGGCCGCUCUCUACCGGUUGAUAGAGCUUCAAGGGAGAGCCAUGACCCUCUUCGCCUGGACGGCAGCAGAUACCCACGGUCACCUCCAGGCAGCAAGAAGAGACAUGGUAGGCCAAACCUACCAGCUGAUCCAGCGUGGUAUCCAGAUCCACGAUAUGCAAGAUCGGAUCUCCGAGCUAGAAGGAGAAGUCGCCGACCUCGUGGACGGCAUGAUAGAGCUCUCGGAGGAGAAGAUGGAGGUGGAAAUGGAGUUAGCAGUUGCCAAUGCCCACCUGGAGGAGCACCAAGCCAAGCUCGAGGAUAUGCAUGCCCUCAACAUGCAGCUCGAAGCUCAGGAGGACCCUGAGGAAGAUGAGGGAGCGUCCAGCAUGGACAUAGAAGAAGAUGGCGCCCCUUCUCCGACUCAUAGUGUCCAUUGGUAGCUUAAAAGUUCUCCGGGAACCAUCUUUUUGUUGUACUCCUCGGCAGCCUAGAUUUUGGAAAAGUUGUAAUAGGUUAGCCUCGAGUUGAGUGCCCCUUGUGUUGAAACACCGUUGUGUGUAAAGUUAACCCCGGUGCAUAGCUUUCUCAUCUUGUAUGGUGUGGAUGAUAGGUCGAGUAAGUUGCGCCACAUGCUGUGUUCAGAGAACCUGCUCUUGGGCCGACCCCAGCUUGCGAAACCGAGUGCGCCGACCCUUUGAGGCGGUUUCCGUCCCGUCCGACCUUUUUUUUCAGUAGGGAUCGCUGCCGACCCCUGUUCUCUCGAAGGGACCGCCCAAUCCGACCCCUUAGUUUAAGUGGAACAUAGGAGUUGGAUAUGACCUGUUCGCCUGGAGUGAGUACCAGGUCAAGGUAGAGGUUAUCUACACUGAGAAUGAGAAAAAUGUGUUUUCCUUGUGAGGACGUGUGUUACACCAUUGGCAAGAGUCGCAUUAAAGGAUUUAAGUUAUACGUUCCAUUUGUUGGAGUACACCUAAGGUUAUGAAAUUAAUGGGGCGUUAACUCUUGUAGAUGGCGCACCGCACUAGGUCUGGAUCUAUGCCCAGUGGUAGUGAUCAGCGACAGGAUCUUCCCCCGCCCCCGCCCCCAUCGCCAUUGGAGGCAAUCCUAGCAACUCAAACUGAGUUGCUAAGGCAUCUGGUGCAAGGACAACAGCAACCGCCACAGGGUGGAAGAGCUCAGCAGCAGCCGCAUAUCGCGCGGUAUGAGGACUUCCUGGGGACGCAGCCCCCGAUGUUCCAAAAGACACAAGAACCGCUCGAUGCUGACGCAUGGGUUCGUACGAUCGAAUCCAAGUUCGAGCUCCUCACCGCUCCAUGCCCCGAUCACAACAAGGCUCGGUUUGCAGCCCAGCAGCUGCGUGGCUCCGCACGGCUUUGGUGGGACCACUACCAUGCCAUGCUGCCGGCUGGCCACGUGGUCAGUUGGAACGAGUUCAAGACGGAGUUCAAAGCGCAUCACAUUCCAGAAGGUCUCCUGGAGCCUAAGCUCAACGAGUUUCUGGCCCUCACCCAAGGAACUCGGGAUGUGCUGCAUUACGCCCAAUCUUUCAAUGACCUAUGCCGUUACGCUGGCUAUCAUGCGGACACAGACGAGAAGAAGCGGGACAGAUUCCACCGAGGACUGAGCUUGGAGCUCAGGGAAAGGUUGAACCCCAUCAGGGUGGACACCUACAACGAGUUGGUCAACCUGGCCAUCUCUCAGGAGGACUGCAUGCAAGCCCUCAAGGCCGACCAGAAGAGGAAAGCCUCUGUGGCAUUCCCGAGUCCACCGACUCGAAGGUUCCGGAUGAUCCCUCCACAAGCCCCUGGCCGACCCCAGCAGUCAGGGAAAUGGAUCGCCCGACCCCCGCAUGCAACAAUGCCUCAUUUUCCAGGCUUCCAGCCGCAAGUGCCCCGGCCGACCCUGCCAACGCCACCUCGCCCGGCAGCCAGUAAUCGUUGUUUUACCUGCGGCAAUGAAGGACAUUUUGCAAAGGACUGCCCCAGGAACAAGAAUCAGCAGCAAGGUCAGAACCCCAUGGCAGCCAGAGGAAGGAGGCCCAAGGUGCAAGUCCGACAAGGCCGACUCAACUACACCAGCUUGACCGAACUCCCCGAAGGUGCGUCAGUAAUGACGGGUACUUUCCUUGUUUUAAAUCAAGCUGUUGUUGUGUUGUUUGAUUCGGGAGCCUCUCAUAGCUUUAUCGGAAGCAAGGGAAAGAUGUGGGCUAAGUGUCGGUCACACUAAGGAACCCUAUGUGAUCGCCACUCCUGGAAGAAGGAUAACGACGGAUCAGGUCGUUAUUCUUGUACCUCUCCAGCUAGGCCCCACCCUCUUCAAGGAAAACCUUAUCAUCCUUGACCUAGAAGGCAUAGAUGUCAUCCUUGGUAUGGACUGGAUGGCCCGACAUCAUGUUGUUCUAGAUACAUCAGCCCGAUCUCUUUACAUCAGCUCACCCUCCCAUGGCAGUUCUACCCUAUCCUUGACCCAUCCUGAGUCUUUGACUCCUUGUGCCUACCCUCUCUUGGGAGCCCGUCUAGAAGACCUCCCUGUUAUCUGUGAGUACCCUGAUGUGUUCCCAGAAGAUUUGCCGGGUAUGCCCCCUAACAGAGAAGUGGAGUUUUCCAUAGAGUUGAUUCCUGGCACAACCCCGAUAUCUAAGAGACCCUAUCGGAUGCCACCCGCUGAGUUAGCCGUAUUGAAGACCCAGUUGCAUGAUCUGUUGGAAAAGGGCUUCAUUCGACCCAGUACAUCAUCUUGGGGUUGCCCCGCCCUGUUUGUAAAGAAGAAAGACGGCAGUCUACACAUGUGUGUGGAUUACCGACCCCUCAACGCUGUGACGGUCAAGAACAAGUACCCGUUGCCACGCAUUGACGUCUUGUUCGAUCAGCUAGCCGGAGCAAAAGUGUUCUCCAAGAUCGAUCUUCGUUCUGGUUAUCACCAAAUAAAGAUUCGACCCUGCGACAUACCCAAGACAGCCUUCUCUACCAGAUAUGGACUGUACGAGUACCUAGUCAUGUCCUUUGGACUCACCAAUGCACCCGCUUAUUUCAUGUACCUUAUGAACUCGGUGUUUAUGCCCGAGCUAGAUAAGUUUGUAGUGGUGUUCAUUGAUGAUAUCCUAGUGUACUCGAGGGACGAGGAAGAGCAUGCCCACCAUCUUCAUAUAGUUCUCCAACGGCUGAGAGAUCACCAGCUCUAUGCAAAGUUCUCCAAGUGUGAGUUUUGGUUAGAUAGUGUCAAGUUUCUGGGACACACUAUCUCCAGAGACGGUAUCGCCGUGGAUCCCAGUAAAGUGCAGAAAGUCAUGGAAUGGAAGUCUCCUACCUCCGUACACUAGAUCAGGAGUUUCCUUGGACUUGCAGGUUACUAUCGGCGUUUCAUACCGGAUUUCUCCAAGAUAGCUAAGCCGAUGACCGAGUUGCUGAAGAAGGAGGUCAAAUUUGUGUGGGACACCAAGUGUGAAGAGGCCUUCAAGACCCUGAAGCACUUGCUGACCACCGCCCCAGUGUUGGCUCAGCCCGACCCCUCUAGGCCGUAUGACGUAUACUGUGACGCCUCUGGCGCUGGACUCGGAUGUGUUCUUAUGCAAGACAGCCGAGUCAUUGCCUAUGCCUCACGUGCGUUACGACCUCAUGAGCUAAGCUACCCGACACAUGACCUUGAGUUAGCAGCAGUAAUACAUGCCUUGAAGAUAUGGAGGCACUACCUAAUGGGAGCUCACUGCAACGUAUACACCGACCACAAGAGCCUAAGUACAUCUUCACUCAAGCCGACCUCAACAUGCGUCAGAGAAGAUGGCUGGAGUUGAUAAAGGAUUAUGAGUUGGAAGUACACUAUCACCCUGGCAAGGCAAAUGUAGUAGCCGAUGCCCUCAGUCGCAAACCCCAUUGCAACUGCUUGUUGUCAACAGCUUUCACCAAAACCCUGUGUCACGAGAUGGGAAAACUAAGUUUGGAGGUUAUUCCUCAUGGAACCCUUAGUCACAUCAUCCUUGACUCAGUUUUGGAGGACCAAAUUCGGUCAGCACAAGUUAAGGAUGAAGAAAUAAAACGGAUCAUCAGUAAGAUAUCAGGAAAUGAUGAAGGAUAUAAGCAAUUCCGUCAGGACAAAACGGGAGGUGUGUAUUAUGGAAACCGACUAGUUGUACCCGCCGACCCCGAAUUGAGGAGGCAAAUCCUAGAUGAAGCUCAUCUCUCCAAGUUCUCAAUCCAUCCUGGCAGCAAUAGGAUGUACCAUGAUCUUCGUCAAACCUUUUGGUGGAGUGGAAUGAAACCAUAGAUAGCUCGUUAUGUUUCAGAAUGUGACACCUGCCAACGUGUCAAGGCCAGUCAUUUGAAGGUAGCAGGAACCUUGCAGCCGCUACCUAUUCCCUCUUGGAAAUGGGAAGACAUCAGCAUGGACUUCAUAGUUGGAUUACCCCUUACAAACUCAACGGUGUGAUUCCAUCUGGGUUAUAGUGGACCGUCUGACCAAGACGGCACAUUUCCUUCCUGUUCGCACCACCUACACAGUCAAGCGAUAUGCAGAGUUGUACCUCGACCGUAUAGUUUCCCUACAUGGUGUACCCAAGACCAUCGUCUCCGAUCGAGGAGUUCAGUUUGUGGCACGUUUUUGGGAGCAACUACAAGCAUCUAUGGGCACCAAGCUCAUCCGAAGCUCGACGUAUCAUCCUCAGACCGAUGGCCAAACCGAGAGAGUCAACCAGAUUCUUGAAGACAUGUUAAGAGCCUGUGUUAUCCACUAUAAUAAAAACUGGGACAAGUGUCUGCCCUUAGCAGAAUUCUCCUACAAUAACAGCUAUCAGGCCAGUUUGAAGAUGGCACCGUUUGAGGCCCUGUACGGCCGGAGAUGCAGGACACCCUUGAACUGGUCCCAACCAGGGGAGAGACAGGUCUAUGGCCCUGACUUAGUGGCAGAAGCCGAAGAGCAAGUGAAGGUAAUUCAAGCACAUCUCAAGGCCGCCCAAUCUCGACAGAAGAGCUACUCCGACCAGCGGAGAAGACCCCUGCAGUUCGACCUUGGUGAUCAUGUGUACCUUCGAGUUUCCCCAACCAAAGGAGUGCAACGGUUUGGAAUCAAAGGCAAGUUAGCUCCCCGCUAUGUUGGCCCUUAUGAGAUUGUGGAGAUAUGUGGACCCGUUGCUUACCGGAUCCAACUCCCAGAACAGUUGUCUGCCAUACAUGAUGUUUUUCAUGUGUCUCAACUAAAAGAAGUGUGUCUGAGUUCCAGCAGAGAUCUUAGAGCAAGGACAGCUUCAAAUAGAGCCCGACCUGACCUACGCCGAGUACCCAGAUCGAGUUCUUGACCAAAAGGAAAGGCACACCCGACGCCAAGUGGUAAAGAUGUACAAGAUCCUCUGGAUAAACCACACUGAAGAUGAAGCAACAUGGGAAACAGACGAAUAUCUGAACAAGCGUUUCCCAGGUUUCCUGUUCCACCAAGGAGGUAAGAACAGCACACCCCGCGAGUUAUAGGAGUUACAUGUUUACUCUCCUGUUAUAACUAUAAGGACGAUGGACGGGGCAGGUUUGGGUAACUCUUUGGUGGUUGGAUGGUCGCCCCGUCUGUCUAUGAAAUCUUGCUAAGGCCCCACAGUGGUGGUGUUCGUGAUCAAGUGUUUGCAAGUACUAGUCUCAUACUUAGUAUGGGAUGAGGAAGCCUAGUACCGGAUUGAACCUAGACGUGAGCGGUCGCCCCAUUGUUCUUGAAACGGAGUUUCCCCUGCUGGUUGUCGCACGUGGUGGCAAGCGUGGUCACAGAACGGCAGAGGCUGGGUCUGUGGAGCCUUGCACCAAAGGAAAUGGGCCCGACACGGUUUAGGGGAUUGAUGGGGAAGGCCGACACAGGAAGCGACCUCCGGGUGCGCGGAUGUCGUGAGGCUAGGUUCACCAUGCAUGGUUAAAGAACUCGAAUCGAUUUGUCUGCCUCUCACAGCUUGAGAUUGCUUGAUCGCUAUGUCACCCUGAGUAAAUGAGGAACCUAAGGAUGACAUGUUUGUUGAUAUAUCUAUACAUCUUGUUCGGUUCUAUGAUUGCUUAGAAUAGGUUGCACAACCUAGACUGGUAAUGGAACUUAGAACCUGAGCUAAAACCUGGAAAUAGGGUUUUUACUUAGUGCUUUUGGCAAACAAACCCCUCAGCCAAACAGCUUGCAUGUCUAGAAGGAGGAGUAGCCCUCACUCCUAUCGGUUAAGUCUUGUUGAGCUUAGUAGCUCAGCCUUGUUGUGGCUUCUGUUUUCAGGUGAGGUUGCUGCUUUCGACCCCUCUCUGGUUGGUGCUUGGCCGCCCCAGCUCCCGCCAGGCUGGACGGUCGAGUGGGACCCCUCCUCGGACGGCGAGGAGAGGACUCAGUGAUGUUCUGGCUGGCCUCGCACGGACAUCCGACCCCGACGAAGUCUUCCGCUAGUUUUCUCGGCUGUUUUCUCGGAAUCUUGUAAAACUCUGAUGUUGGAUUUUGUGGCCGAAUUAUUUGGGUAAAACUUUUUCAACUCAGUGGACUUAUUGUUUUCUCUGUAACCACUCACCUUCGUGUGGGUUUGCUAAACUCGAUCCUGUUUAAGUGGUUAAAUCGGAGGAAAUCCGACGGCACUUCGUAUUAACUCGGUUUAGGCAGGAGUGUCGCAUGUUAGGCGGCUUAACCCUGCUUAAUCAAGCUAAUCCGAGGUGGUUCCGCCACAAUACCUUCAUUCAGUUUCGAGCUCGACUACCAUCAUUUGCAGCCGUUCCGAACUUGUAGGAAUCAAGGGAAGUGGGACAACCUACAAAUGUCGUGCUAGAGGCGACGGGCACACAUAUAGGCAAGCCUGAAAUCAACAUAAAGGAGGAUAAGGCACAACCAAAGCACAAAGCUACAGCGAGGAAUCCAUCGAAUCAUCAAAAAAAAACCCAUCCAACAAACAAACAUCCAAUAUGAGUACAGUAUUGGCACAAAACAUCAUUGACCCAACAAGAACAAGGAAAAAGAAGAGAUCCCAGAUGUUGUGAUGCCUGAUGAACCACUAUCAACUGAUAGCACGUCAAAUGGUACUACUCCAUGCGAAUUUCUUUAACAAUACAUAGAUAAUAUUAGUCAUCUAACUAUUAUCCGCAGAGUAUUUGAUCAAUGCAGAUGAGUUGUCCACUGUCCAGUACAUCAAUUCAACAUCACAGGAUAAAGUUUUGGUUGAUAUUGGUAUUUACACAGCAACAAGGAAGGAUCUAGAGUGCCUUCUCAAUAGUGAAAUGUUCCUGAAUGAUUCGGUUAGUAUAUCUCUACAUAAAAAUAUUCUAUUUCAACAUUACAAUCUAAAGAUGUUUAACUUGCAAGUAAAGGUUAUGAAUGCUUACAUCCGAUUACUAAAAGCACAACCUAGUAUCAACAAAAGGGAAGAUGGAUAUGCCUAUCUAGAGACAACUUACAAUGCCAACAUGAUAUGUGGGGAUACCAUCGCUUCAUUACGAAAUAAAGAAGAAGGCAACUUCCAUUUAUAUCAGACAUUAACUUAUCUCAACAAUGACAUGGUACAACUUGCAUCCUAUUACAACUAUAUAAGGUUGAUUUGGCGCAGGCAAACAUCUAACAAAACAAGUUUUUCAGGUCUUCUUUCCAAUCAACAUUAAAGAUUGUCAUUGGUAUUUGGUGGUCAUCAAUGGUCGUAAGGGUGUCAUUCAGGUACUUGACUCCAAGGGGACUGCCACUCGCCGGCCACAACUACAUCAACUGGUGAGACACUAAUAAUCUGGUACCGACUACUUAAUAACAAAUUAUACAUGAUUACCUCAACCACUGAUGAUUGUAUUGAACUCAGUUGCAAGGGUUGCAGAACCGUAUGAAACGCCUUGCAGACCUACAAUUGAUCAAAGAACAUAGGUGGAAGGACACCCAAGUCAAAGAAUGGCCAGUCAUUGAAUGCAUCAAAAGGACAAUCCAGAUUGACAAGUACAAGCACAUCAACACUUGUCAAUAUAUUCGGGUUCCCAUAAUUAGUACUUCCUAACUUGUGUAAAUACCAAAUAAUCUCGCGGUACAUCGUGUGGACUAUUCACGGUGAAAUUCAUGGAGCUUUGGACCGGAAACAAAUUAUCUUCCUUAUUCACACAGGUAAGUUGAACAACACAAAUUUAGCAACCCAAUAUAUGCCCAUCUUACACUACAGCUAACAGGCAUUUGUAUUUGUUAUGUGCAGAAGGAUAUGACUAAUUUCAGGCUCAAGCUAGCUGUCACAUUGGUUAACUAUGCGUGGAACAAAGUGAAAGGAAGUCCAGGAUACAAAGCUACCGAUGCCGAGGAGACAUACACGAUGGAAGACAAUGAAAAAUAGAUUACAUUCCAUUUUUUCCGUGUUUACUUCAUUAUCUAUGAUGAUCGAGUAUUCCAAACCAAUCAAGUUCAUUUCAUUUCUACGUGGAGAUCACUAGUUUAGAUGUUAAUAGGAACUCAUUGGCAAUAUCAUAUUCCUCAAGGUAGUUUAACUUUUGUUUUCCCUAAAUAACAACGCAUUUCUAUGUCCCAUAACCAGUUGUCUUCAACCAUACCACAGAGUUUAUUUAAUCUUCACAACCUUAUCGAACUUGAUAUCUCAAACAAUCACUUGAUCGGUACUCUCAAAGAUGAUAUAGGAAGCUUGAACACAAUAAACAAGAUAUAUCUCUCUACCAACCAGCUACUCGGUGACCUUCCAGAUUCAUUCGGACAACUACAGAUGCUAACCCACCUCAAUUUAUCACACAACUCGAUUCAAGAUUUGAUUCCAAAUUCUUAUGGCAAGUUAGCGAGCAUGGAAACACCGGAUCUCUCCUACAAUAACCUCUCUGGCAACAUCCCAAUCUAUCUGGCCAAUUUUACAUACCUCACGAAUUUGAAUCCGUGGUUGACCAGCCGGUCGCCGACGGCAAACCCAACGAAGGAAUUGCCACGGGUGGCGCACACUGCGCGCCGGCAGCCUCCUCGAGCCGGGCUGCGCGCUUCGCCGCGGCGCCGACCGACCUCCGGGCGUCGAAGCCCGCGCCGCCGUGGAGCAGCAACGCGGCGCGCAUCUCCUAAACCGCGGAGUCGCCGCUGACCAUUGGAAUCUCCACCGCAGAGUCACCGCCGCCGCCCCAUUUCAACCCUAGGUACCGUGGAGCAGCAGCGCGGCGCACAUCUCCUGAACUGCGGAGUCGCCGCCGCCCGCCGCAUAGUCGUCACCGACCGCCAGAGUCUCCAUUGACCGCCGCUAGGGAGUUGGCGCCGCCGCCCCAUUGCAGCCCUAGAGGAGCCUGUGACCGAUUGGAAAUGAGGAGCCCCAGUCGCAACCUGCGACCAAUUGGAAAUGAGGAGGAAUAAAAAGAAAUAAGAUUAUAAUUAACAAAGAUUUGAUUUGAUCUAUUACAACAAUGUCAUUUUACAUAUUUCCAAUAAUACCCUUAUACUACCCAUACUACUCAUGCAUACUACCUAUACUACAGCUUAAGGUUUUAGUAGUAUACAAUUAAUCUCAACCGUCGGAUCCUUACAUACGAGUCCUUUUCGAACAAUAGUAUAGCGUAGUAUUGUGCACCGUAAAAGAGUUCUACGAAAAACUAGGCAUUGGUCCUAACCCUUAGUAUCGGUUGGUUUUUUACCCGAUACUAAUACUCACAUUAAUACUGGAUCUAACAGAUAGUAUCUCAGGAGUCCCCCGUGAUCCCCUUUAGGCCUCGUUCAUUUCAGCCGGAUUGGCUUCCGACCAGGAUUACUUCCAGACCCGGUUUGAGUGAUUCCACUUGUGUCGCUCAAUUUGGCCGGAUUUAAUCCUACCAAUCCACUCAAAACGAACAGGUCAUAACAAACAGGUCAUGAAAGAUUUGGUAUCAAGUCAAUUCUCAGGAGGGUUAAUACUGAGGCGUCACUGCUGGCGACAUGGUUCCUUGGGGGGAAAUUGGAGUCCAAGUCGGAUCCACGAGGCGCAGCUGCCCACAGGACGCUGCUGCAAACGUUUUCGAGUCGCUCACCACCACCUACCACCCAACUGGCCACUGCCAAAACACAAGUGAAGAAGAACAUGAGCUCUCAUGAGCAUCAGAUAUGAAAAAUUGCAUGUUGGGAAGCAGCCAUUGUAUCUGUACCCAAUUGUAUCUAACUGGGACAAGAGUAUCAUACAAUUUUAUACUUUGUCUUCUUGGUUUGGUCCUCGUUGCCCAGCACUUGCUACCCCAUCUCGUGCUUCUCAAAGAUGCCUGCAUGAUCAACAGGCACAAGCAGUAAGUAAAUAGCCAAUAGCACUCUGACUCUGAAAUCAGACUCACGCAUCACUCCAGAUGUACUGAUCCUACUGUUUCUCUAGUUACUUGUAACAUAGAUUAAUCUGACCACCAACAAGAAUAUCAGAACCAAUAGGAACGCCAUGUGUGUCCAAUACAGAAACCAAGAAUUUGCACGAACGAAAGAAAUGAAGCAACAGAGAAAGAAACGGCACGGACCUUGGGAGCAAGUCGGGGGACUAGCUACCGGGCAAGGGGUGGCACUGGUCAAAGCGGCGGAGCACCUCGGGGUCGUGCAUGGAUAGCACGAAGCGCGAUAGCGCCUCGAGGUAGAGCGUUGCCUGGUAACCCCCGGCGGUGGCAACGAGCUUCGAAAGAACGCCCCGACGGAGGCGGUUGGCCUCGAGCGUGACGCCCUUGAGCUCCUCCAGGAACGCCUCCAUGUCAGCGGUGCCGGCCACCUCGGCGACCACGAAGGCCUCCUGGGCCCCGCGGAGGCGGUCGGAGACGGCGGGGACGGCGGCGCGGAUCCGGCGGGGACGGGAGGCUGAACAAGAGGGAGGAUCGAGAGUAGACCGAGUCGAGCGAGUGGCCAGGAUCCGUUCCGGAGGGGAGGAGGUGGGGAAUGAUUCCGGGCUAUGAGUGGAGGGGGAAAACCAAACUGGGCCAGGCCAAAUCUAACCGAACAGCGAAUACAAACCAUGCCUGACUCCAUUCCCGGCCAUUUCAAUCCACCCGGAUUGGGUCUCAUUCCAGACCAAUCCAGUGAAAACGAACAGGCCUUAGUACUAGUUGGGGGCUCUCCACCCGGUACUAAAGACCCUAAGGCACCACCCGGUACUAAUGGGUGACUUUUAGUACUGGGUGGAGCUCCCACCCUGUAAUAAAGAGCUCCCAUCCGCUGCCUUAUCCAUCCCCCCUCCGCUACCCGCUCCCGGCUGCUUCUUAUCCAUCCGCCUCCCCCCUCCUAUCUCUCUCUCUCCCUCUCUCCUCUCUCUCUCAGCACCCCCUUCCUCUCCUCCUCUGCCUCCCCUCCCCCUCCACUCGCCCUCACUGGCAGUGAGGAGCAGCGACGGGGCGAGGUGAGGCGGCGACGGGCGACGGGAGUCGGCGGGGGCCGGUGGCAGGGCGGGGGCGGUGGGGGCCGGUGGCAGGGCGAGGGCCUGGGAGGCUGGGGGCUGGCGGGGGCCGGCAGGGGGCGGGGAGGGUGGGGGCGGCGAGAUUUCAUUUUUUUAUUUUUUAAUACCUCGAUUAUUUGAUCACCCCCUUUAGUACCGAAGUAGCAAUACUGGUUGCACAACCGGUACUAAAGGGGGUUAGGUAGAGGGGCUUUCUCUAGCAGUGGCACCUCAAAUUUGUCUUCGUCUAGGUUCCUCACUUUGUUGUUCGUCGAUAUCUCCUCCCACUUGGCGGUGUUGACAAAAGGGAGCCAUAUCCUGUCGUGUGGAUCGUCAGGGUACCUAGCCAACCAAUUAUUUUCGAGCUCAAGAAUUUCGCGCCUUUUUAUCGGAUUGAUUAGCGUGCAUGAAUUAAAAAAAAAACAGGUGAUGGACUGGGAUCUUUUGCUCACCUGACAAUGUUCGAAUCAUCCGUCGCCCCGAAGUUGCGCCGGGAGAGCAGGACCAGACCCUGCGUCGCGUUCACUUGCAGGUAGAGCGAGCUCUUGAGCGGCCUCAGCUCCAGCGCGGAGAUGAACGGCGUUCCCGAACCGGUGUUCACCAGGCAAACGUACGUGCACGUAAUCGUCCGGCACGACGACGACGACCUCCAGCCUCCCCACCACGUCCAGGGUCGAGACGUUCACCCUGCUCCAGAAGUUGACGCCGGCGUAGAGGUCGAAGAUGGGCGGCCUGUUGAGGCCGUCGUAGUUGCCGUACAUGAACUCAGCGCGGAGAUUGUACUUGAGCCCGGCCACGAGGGACUGGAGCAUGUAGCAGUUGCGCGUCCCGUCGGGGAAGCUUCGCACGUUGAGGUAGCGCUUGGAGAGCGUCGGCUUGAUGUACUCGACAGAGAUGUUGUGGUUCGUGCCGGCCUCGGUGAAGGCGGCGUCCGGGGCGUAUGACAGCUUGGUGUCGUCGUCCACGGAGUUCGCCGUCCCCGGCAGGCCACAGUCUAUGCUGAUGAAACCUGCAACCGCAAAAACACCUCUCCUUCAAUCUUGCAUGGAUGGGCGCACAUAGAGCUAUGUUCUGAUUCCUAUGCAAUCUGUGCAUGCCAUAUGAAACGUUAACUGUGAAAUCAUCGAGGGAUGUUGAGCAUACCAAUGCUGUCGGGCUGUGCGCGAGCUUGAAGUACCCCGGCGGUGGCAGCGGCAGCGAGGCCGAUAAGCAGCAACCACGACGGUGCCACCAUUCUUUUCGGCAUUGUGACUGUUCAAUUUCACAAGCAAGGAGCCAAACACGCUGUCUGUGCUUUGAAAUCUAUGUACUACUAGGUACAGGUACCCUUUAUAGAUAGCAAAUCCUAGUCUAGAUGGUGAACAAGUAACAUUUCUCCCAGAUACCUCUAUCAUAAGGACCGAAAAUAUACCAGUUGUUUAGCACAUUAUUAAUCGCAUCAGGACUACAGAAAAUUUAAUCUAUUCAGCACAUUUUUAUGCAGUAGUCAGUACAAAGCUUGUCCUAGUGGACAACCAGCUUUUUUAGAAUGGUUGUAUGGUAGUGAUAGUGUGAGGAUAAACACCGGCACCUAAACCCUGCAUGACAUCAGUGGAAACUGCUAUAGAUUCUCAGUUUUUUUUAAAAAAAAUCAUUCUAAUUUCUAAACAAACUGGAUAUUGAAGAAGUUGUUACGUACCAUAUGUAGGAGAAUUUGCAAGCAGUAGGAUCUGAAAAUGUUGUAAAUCAUGGAGCUGUUCAGCAUACUGAUGCUGUUGGGCUGCGUGAGCUUGGAGUACCCCGGUGGCGACAGCCGACAGUGACGAUGAGCAGGAGGAAAAUAAGCAGCAACAAACACAGCGUUGCUGCCAUUGAAAUGAUCGAAUGCUUCAUUGCACAAGCAAAGUACCCAACAUCUAUACAUAUAUACUGAAUCCCUAUUUCCUAUCCGUAGGUUUCUGUUAUCAAAGAAAAAAAAAUUGCCAAGCACAUUGAUUGCAUCAGCACUGCCAAAAAGAAAAUCAACCACGUCAGCACAUUCUAUCCGCUACAAUUCUGCAAGCCCAUUGACAAUUGACAUAGCGUAGGUCGUCGAUGCCCCCUGGGAAAACAUACACAAACCAGUUCCUCGUAAGUGGGCCCUUCGAUAGCCAUCCGAUCGUUGGCUAACUCUUGAAGGGACCAGCAUAAGGUCAGUAGCUGUGUGUGAUUAGUGCUGAUUUGGAUGGCAGUGGGCCCACAGAUAGUUGACUUCAGACUCUUCUUCGCUCUGGAAAUUGCAGGCCAGAAAUUCCUUUUUGUGGGGGAGAAAUAAUCCAACAUCAUAUCUAAGUGUGCAUUGACUAAGACUGCUAUGUAUCAUGUGUAUGGGACUUUUCGUACACACGUCAUUAGAUUAAGAUAGUGUUUGGUUCAAGUAGUCGUAAGACAAAUAGGAGCAGAAAUGAAAUCAUUUCAUAGGGGAAUCAGAUCAGAUUUUUUAUGGAACAGGAGGGGUCAUGACUGCUACUGAUUAUGUAUUAAUAUUAGAAACAAAAGAGGUACAGCAAAAGAAAAAAAAGGGGGAGGGGGGGGGGUGUCGAAGUUACAAAAGAGCUUCUACCCACUCUGAGCAAAAUAUUUUCUCUUUGCUCGAUGGAUGACAUGGCAAAGUGGCAAACUCAAAUUUGAAGGUACCUUUGCAUAUAUCAACUAAUAUUGGUCUUUCCUUGAAAAUUGCAUUAUUUCGAGUGGCACUGAUGCUCCCAGGAUAGUAGAAUGAAAAGUUCCAUGAAAGAAAGCUUAUUAAUCCGUUGCCUGAGCAAUUUCAGUAAUUGAACAGGCUGCAAGUCUGCUUGGACAUCGAGAUUCAGAACUUACCCACGUUUCCGAGAGAGAGAGGACAUAGAAGAGGUGUUCCACAGACUCAACACCAUUUCCUGAGCACAACACAUAGUUAUAGCAGUCAAAAUGCAAAUUCUUUCUUCGAAGCAGAUAAUUUUUUUUAUGUUGCGAGGAUCGAGUUGCAUCAUACUCCCUCCGUUCCAAAUUAUAAGUCAUUCCAACUUUCUUGGAGAGUCAAAUCAUCUCAAGUUUGACCAAAUUUAUACAAUAAAGUGCUAACAUUCAUGAUAUCAAAUAGGUACCAUUGGUUUCUUCAUUAAAUAUAUUUUCAUAGUAUAUCUAUUCGGUGCCAUAAACUUUUGUAAUUUUCUCUAUAAUUUUGGUCAAACAUAAAAAUGUUUGACUCUCCAAGAAAGUUGGAAUGACUUAUAAUUUGGAACGGAGAGAGUACUUGAUUGAAAAAGCCGCUCUGGGUGUUUUACAUGUUUUCACUGUGCCCGAUAAUUUUGCAAUCAAGUUUGUUGCUUUACAGUAGGUCCUCGCUUUCAAGUUUCAUGAGGCAGCGCCGCAGCGCUGGCUUCACAAUUGCGUAUCACGGCGCCAGAGGGCCGCGUUUUGUGUCGCUCCUGCUGGGCUCCUCUCUCUCUCUCUCUCUGCUGCUGCAGAGAUCGUUCGUUCGGGGUGCUCUCUCAGCUUAAAACGAAUUUUGGCCCAGCCCACAGCAAAAUUCAAACGGCCGACACGCCUGACACGAACUCGCGGCGCGGCGCCCACCCGCGAGUGGCAGAGUCCAGACACACACACAUGCGUGGUUCCCUCAAUUCGGCGGGGAGCUGGGCAACAGCCUUGCCAUCUUCUUCGAAAUUUGGAAAGUGUGCUGAAAAAUCACGAUCCAACGGAGUUGUUAUUUAGAUGGUCAUCCUAUCCAACUUACUAAAUACUCUCUCACACUCUUCAAACUUAGUAAGCGGGUUGGACUUGUCAAAUAUGCAAAAUGGAGAGUGCGAAAUGAAGAGUCUGUUGUAGUGUGAAAUGGAGAGGCUGCUGAGUGGAUGGAGAGUGUAAAUUUUUAGAGAGGAAACUAACUAUUAGGAUUUGGAGAGUGGGGAAUGGAUAGUCUGUUGGAGGGAGCAACUUAAUAUAAAAGAGGAAUUUUUUUUCAAAAAGAGUCAAAUGGAGAGUCAAGGGGUGUUGCUAAACUUUAGUACAUGUCAUAUCGAAUGUUUGGAUACUAAUUAGGAGUAUUAAAUAUAGUCUAAUUACAAAACUAAUUGUACAAAUGGAGUCUAAUUCGCGAGACGAAUCUAUUAAAUCUAAUUAGUCUAUGAUUUGACAAUGUGGUGAUACAGUAACCAUUUACUAAUGAUGGAUUAAUUAGCUUUAAUAAAUUAAACUUCCAUUCGUUCAUAUUUCUAGAAAAAGUUCGUCUCACGAAUUAAACUUCAUCUGUGCAAUUAAUUUUAUAAUUAGCUCAUAUUUAAUCCGACGUAACCUUCGAGUUUAGCAUCCCUCAUCCUACGGAUACGGGAGUUGCUCACGAGGCCACGCCGCCGCGGGCGCGGUCACGGCGACGCGGUUUCUGAAAGCCACAAGCGGUCUCGACGUGGGUCCGGUCCGUGCGGAGGCUGAGGAGGUCCCGAGUCAGGAUCGGACGCCGGCUAACGGCUCGGGAGCGUAGCGCCGCUCUUCGCGAACCGGAAUAUGUGGCGGGGCUUGCCGGCUUGGCAUCUGGAAUUCUGGAUCGCUGUGAUGACUGAUCUGUGGAAGCUGCGCGCGGAAAGCGACCUGCAUUUGCUCAUUCGGUGAUUAGGCUGGUUGCCAUCGAGGUGACGUCCGCCUGAAUAAAAGCAAAAGAAAACUAGAGGUCCGUGCUUGGUUGGCUCGGUCAUUAGUCGAUUUUGCAUUCGCAGCCUUGUCUAUGACGUUAAUGUUGUUCUAUGUGCGCGCAUUUUUCCGGCCAUCAUGUUGCGAAAGCACGCUAUAGCCGUCAAUAAUUUGGACACAAAGACUGGGGGCCUGGGCACAAUGAUCUUCAUACGUUACCAUAGCUUUGGUUCUUGUCUACAAUAAGCUAACAAAAACUUACUAGCAACAAAUUUCCAGGAAACCCAACAUGCUAUCUUGUGUUGUGAAUAUUUUCGAAUGUUAUUUAGCAUGGCACGCUAGAAAAUGAGAAAAUACCAACAUAACAAAGUACGACUAAAUGAUAGUUUGCUUAGCACUUCAGGUGUCUAAGCAUUUGAUUUCAUGUAGCACCCAAUUUCCCAAAUGCGUAGUAUAAUACAGUGGAGGACCUAAAUAUGAACCCUGGUGAUUAUCCAACCAUCCAAGGACCAAUCCGCAAAAUACACCUCAGCCAAUUACUGACUCAUCCGCUGAUCAGCGCUAAACCUAGGGGAAAGCAGAUUUGUCGCAACCAAACACGCCACCUGUUCCCCGUCGCCGUCAUCGUCCGUCCUGGGUUUUGUUGAGCCGCCCCGCUUCCUUCCCGUCCCAUUUUGGCGUCUCGAAGCCAGUAGGUUAAUCACCCCUCCCGAUCCACAAAUCCCUCCCUCCCUCUCCAUUCCGCUCCCCUGAAAUCGAGGAGCGCGGGAGGACACCGCGAAGCGCGUCGGCUCCUAGGGUUUGCCGGUCGGGUUGGGGCUCCGAUCCGUGCGGGCGGGCGGGCGGGCAUGAGGAUUCGGGAGCUCCGUGAUGGGCUGGAGGUGGAGGACGACGAGCGGGAGGAGGAGGCGAGGGGCGGCGGCGAGGUGGUCGCGGUUGUGCGGUUGAAGGCCAAGCGCGCGCUCGUCGGCGCCGGCGCGAGGUUCCUGUUCUACCCCACGCUGCUCUACAACGUCGUCCGCAACCGGUUCGAGCCCGAGUUCCGCUGGUGGGAUAGCGUCGACCAGGUGCGCAUCUUCCGCCCGUCUCCAUCUCCAUCUUCUGGAAUUGCGUUAGUGUUCUCGUGUUCUGGAAAUUGCGUCAGUGUUCUCGUGUUCUGGAAAUUGCGUCAGUGUUCUCGUGUUCUGGAAAAUUGCGUUUGUGUUUUGGACGCGAUUAGGAGCUUGAUAAAAAUUGGGGACAGCUAUAUUGCUGUGUUGUUGUUGUUUUUUUCAGUUGCUGCUCCUCCAGGGCAGGCUUCCAGGCCUUGAUUCAUCAAACAUAUGCGGAAUCUGAUUAGUAUUGUAAACACUUAUUCUAAUAAGGAUCGAUACUAGAAUCAUACAAACAUAUAUCUGAAUUGUGCCACUAUUCUCCCACUGGGCAGGCUUUUCUGGCUUGCUCUGGUUCAGUGUUCGAUCUGUGCAGUAUGCCUUUGUGUUAUUGGUAUUGCUGGGCACUAUGUAUGUGUUGCUGUUUUCAUAGAAUGCAUGUAGGGAUUAUGAGCUUAAUUCAGAUAGGCUGAAUUCGAGUAUUCCACCAAUAGUAAAUCAAGUUUCUCCAUCACGAGAAAUUUGAGGAGCACUUCUUGUUAUCUGUACGGUUAUAUUUCUCUGUUUUGCAUCGCAAUUGCAAUGUCAUGCUUUUAUUGGGCAACAAUUUUUAAAUGCAAUAAUGUAUCAUAUAUGUCCAGCCGUUGGAGCUGAUCAGUUCAAUUGGUGAUGGAAAAACAGUAGCCAUUCAUUUUUAAUUUGCAAUAGAUAUCGUAACCUGGUGUUCUUACCGUUUCUAUCUUCAGUAUGUUUUGCUAGGUGCUGUUCCGUUCCCUAGCGAUGUUCCACGCCUGAAGCAACUUGGAGUUAGAGGAGUUGUCACACUGAAUGAACCCUAUGAAACUCUGGUUCGAACAUCCCUAUACCAGGUAAAUGUUCCUUUACCUCAUCUUCUAGCUGAAGAAAUAAAUAAAUUCUAUCUGAACUUAUAAUUGUUGUCACUUGACUGAGAGAACUAUAGUCUAUAUUCCAACCUAAGUAUCUAUGCCUUGAUAAUACCACACUUAUGUUGGAAAUAUGUAGCUCAAGCUGAACUCAUUGUAGAAAUAGCAGAUAUUUCAUUAUCAUCUAUGUGUCUGCAAAAUAUAAGGUGCCAGACUAUCUAAUGAUAUAUGUCAUUUCAUUGCCUUGUUAUGCAUUGUGCAAUCAGCAAAAUCACCUGGACAAAUUGGCACUGGUAGACAUGAAGUAGGGAGAUAGCAAGAUAUUGUUCUGUACAUCACCAUAUAUCGCAAGUUUUAUAAUAAUUUCUUCUGAUCUAGAUAAUUAUAUAAUUCUGUUUUUCAGUCUCACGGUAUCAAUCAUCUUGAAAUUCCCACAAGGGACUACCUGUUCGCCCCCUCGCUUGAGCAUAUUUGUCGAGCAGUGGAUUUUAUCCAUCGUAAGUAUUAUGUCUUUUCUGAACCAUGAUGCCAAACAUGAUUUCAAUUUCUAUUUGCCUUUGAGGGUUUUAAGUACUUUUAUGUGAUGCCAUGUCUUGCUAGAUGCCAACUCAGCUUUAGGAUGCUAAUUUUGUGGUGCUCAAUUCAGAUCAGGAAGUAGGUGGUAGUGGUUUGCUAGAAUUUAGGGGAAGCAUGCUUUCAUAUUAUUUUUAUAUGUAAUUUUACAUUAUGUCAACUUCAAAGUAAAUCAUUACAUCUGUUAGGUUGAGAUUAUACUAUCUCUGUUCUUAUGUGUUUGAUGUUGGUUAGUUCAAAAUCGAACUAACCAACAUCAAGCAUUCAAGAAUGGAGGGAGUAUGGAUAUCUGAUAUCGCUUGUCAUGGUGUAUGUCAGAUGUGAUAUGUUGUGAGCUAAUCCGUAUGGUGCAGUUAGAAAAUGGUGGUUCUUUAAUCAGUUAAGGAGCAGGAAAGAUAGCUUAUUAAAUUGUGCUGACCAUCAUUAUCGUUGGCAGUGGUUCUAAAUAUUUCUAUUAAUACACUCCUAUUUGACUUUCCUUGCUGUCCGAGUACUGAUGUCUGGUGAUAAUCCUCAAAAGCAAAUCCAUUUGACUUGAUCAAAUAACAAGAAGUCAAAAAAACCAUACUGAUUCACAGUAGGAAAUAGUAAUGGAUCUCUGAGAUUCUGCGUCAUUGAGCAUGCUAGGUCCAAUAUGAAUAGAUACUUAGAAACAUUGUACCACAAUGCUAAUGCUCCACGGCUUUAGCAACAAUAUAGUAGUAAAUCUUCUAUGAAGAUCUGUGCGGAAGUCUGGCAGCCAGGGCUAAUGAUAUGUACUCUUUUUUCCAGGGAAUGAAAUGCAAGGUGGUAGCACCUAUGUCCACUGUAAGGCCGGAAGGGGACGAAGCACCACUAUAGUUUUGUGCUUUUUGGUAGGACAAACUGAUCCGCUUAGGCUUUAGAUGCCUUGUUUCUGUGCAUUAAUAUAAAACUUACUAUAUGUAUUACAUGCAGAUAAAGUACAGGAAUAUGACUCCUGAAACAGCUUUGGAUCAUGCACGAUCUGUGAGGCCCAGAGUGCUUUUAGCGCCAGCUCAAUGGGAGGUAUGCAAUCUGACCUCAGCUAUUUUCUACUGCAUCUAUGCUAGUGGUUACUCAGUCUCCAGAUUUCCCACCCAUGGUUGCUGAAUUGUCGUACUUUUUUUAAUGCAGGCUGUUAAAACGUUUAGCACACUCAAUGCCAGAUGCCUUGCGAUUCAGAGCUCGAACCCAACCUGCUCAGCACUUUCUUAUGAGGAAUCCAGCGAACAGUCUAGCAUGCUGACCAGCAGGUGCCUUUCCAUACGGAGCACAGAUGAAGAUUUCUCAGUAACAUCUGAUGAAGAAUCCUGUGAAGCAUCUGUCGCAGACCCGGAAGUUUAUGGCUACGCCACCACCGAGUUUGACAGCGAGCAUUUUGUUUUACCUCGGUGUCGAAGUUUGCUGCCCAGGCCAGCAAGCCCCACCGGGUGCAAUGACUUGGUCUUCGUAACUGAAGCAGAUCUCGAGGGCUACGAGACCUUCACCGGUGCCGGCAAGGGUGAUGUUGAAGUGGAAGUAGUGGUCCGCCAGAAGCCGAUCAUGAGGAAGCUCUCCUGCUUCCUUGGAUCCUUGAAGCUUACAAGCAACUGCGAACCACCACCGAGUCGUUUGACUGAGGUUCGGGCCUGCUAGGUAGAUUUUCUACAAUGGUUUCUGCGAUCCCUUUUUGCACGUUGUACAUCGGCAGAGUGUAAUUAGCGGCAUGAGUUUGCAAAGCCUGCGGCGGGAGAGAACUGUAUGUUGAGGGAGCUUUGUUCUUCGGGAGAGAACUGUUUUUGUUAUGCGGCGAACGAGAUAUUUGAGUGCUUGCCUUAUUGUAGGUUGUAAUGUACCUAGUGUUUUCCUGGAAUAAAAAGGUUUGCAUGUUUUGAUGGAAUGCCUGGCGCAUGUUCGCCACUAAGGUACAAAUUGAAUUUAGUUUGUUUGAUGUUUUGCCAUUUUGUCGAUGGAUCCACCAGCAGGGGCUUCUGCUGUGACAAUAUAGAGCCGAAAAGCUCGGUAUAUCACCAUCAAGUGGGCCUCUAAAAGAUGCUUAGAUUGAAACAUCCACACAUAACUUUUCGAAAAACAAGAUACACAUGAACUAAAGAAGUAAAAUGGUCGAUGAUUCCCUCCCUGGCACUGUUGUGCUCCGUAUUUACAGUACACAUAGAAGAGUGUUUUUCCCUUCCGAACAGCAAGUACGAAACGGUCAAGGUUCCUCUAGUGAUAGCGGAGCAAGAAACAGUUGAACACCUCGUAAAACUCUGACGGACUAAUGCGCCCGUGAAUAAAAAUCCCCGCAGAUGAAGCGGGAAGAGAAGGGAGAAAAGAAAGGGAAAACAAACAAAAAAGAAAAACUUCCAGAGACCCUCAUCAAGAACAAAAACAUUCCUGCGGGUGCGGUCUGCAGCGCCCCCGCCUACUGAUGGUAUCCGUUCUGAAUCGGCGUCGUCCUGAACCCGCUGGCGGCCGCGAGGCUGAGGUUGGCGCAGGAGCCUGAGGAGGGCUUCUUUGCCAUCCCUCCCAGCGCGACGUAGCUCUUGCAGGACUUGAUCUUCUGCUGGUAGGGGUUGUCCUUCUUGCGCAGGUCCUCCAGGCAGCGCACCUCCGACAUGCACGCGAACGACUGGGACUUGCCCUCGUAGUACCGCGACAGGCCCUUCCUGCACCAUAGCAAGUUCAUGCGCGGUCAGCCCAAGAAAUCCUUAAUUAACCCUUCCGAGGAGGAAUCGAGUCCGAGUUCAUCACCGCCCGGGGGAGAGCUAGUAGCGUCACUUACUUGGCUGGGAGCUGCGACAUCAUGGACGCCAUGUCGUAGAUGCUGUCCGAGUUCAUCCUCCGGAGCGGCUGCGGCACGAACAAGCGCUGGUGGUCCUGGUCGCCCUGCCCAGCAGCGCCGCUGUCAGGGAAGUGGUCCCCCUCGUCGGCGUCGGACUCCUCGCCGCCGGAGACGUACGACGCCGUCUCGAACAGCUCCUCGUCCCCCUCCUCGCGCCCCACCGCGCCCCCAAGCCUGAAGCUCAUGUCGCUCGCUGUCGGCAAACCUCACCUGACCUGACCACGCUCUCACCUCGCUAGUUAUUAGCUGCCCUUGCCCACCCAAACCCAAAGGAAACGGCCCGGCCGGAAGAAACGCUGCUCUGAUUCAGCCGUUUGCGUUUCGUUUCCCUUUACCUCUCUGCUGAUCUCUCCCGGGGGGUUUGCCCACUGGCCUCGGCCCUCCGCUGCGCCGGUGCUGUGGCGAGUAUAUAUACAGGCCCUCCCCGCCCCGGCACGGCCACACCGACCCGACCCGAGCCGCGCCCGACGGGAUAACGCGCCCUGCCUGCCCCGCUCCGCUCCCCGCUCGCUUUCAACAAUUCAGACGCGGUACGGGGUCCUUUGACCAACGCUGCCACAAGUAACGUGCGCAAUUCGCUGCGGGGAAACGCAAGCAAACAAAAGGAAAGAAAAAAGCACGAUAACGCGCGCGGUUUGCAGCCGUUCUGUCCGUCGUCCCCUCGCAUCGCCGCCGUUCGGCCGUUGCCGCCGCCGGCGCGGCGCGGCUACACGGCACGAAUCGGGUCGUCCAGCGCGCGAGGCGAUGCCAUCGACGCUGACACGAGCCGGGCGGGACCCCACGGUCCAUGGGUGUUUGCGCUAAUAAAGCCUGGCUGUCCACUCCGGCGCUGCCACACAUGGCUUUGGGCCCCGGAAUCUGUUCCGCGCCCCGGUCUGAUCUCCCUUGCUUGAUCUUAUCCUCAUCUCAGUUUGCGACUUUGCGGGGUCGGGAGCAUGGCAUGGGUCCCGGUUUGGUUCGAAUCGAACUGACUGGGGAAGAGAGGUGGCAUCUGGGCCCUGGCGCGUGGGUCCGGCGCGGUGACGGCGUGGUACCCGCAAAGUAACAUUCCCUGCGAGCUCGGACGGGACGUGGCCACCUACAUUUUCGCUGUCUUGCGAAUACAGUACCAGUGCUACACUCCUACUCAAAAGAGAACAGUAUUCUCGUUGAAAAUUACCAGAACAGUAUUCUCGCCUACUGUACACCACUCCCCCUUAUAUAUACUCCAAAGGAAUGUAUAAGUAAAGGGAUUAUAGACGGGGGGAAAGCACGAGACGAGGCAUGCAUGUUCCACUUCUGGAAAACCGGACACGCGUCGCCGGGCGCAGCUACGCGCCAAGUGCGUGUCCCGUGCGAAGCCCGGCGAGCCUGCCACGCCGCGCCGCGGCCGGGCACGUAGGCCAGGGAGCCGGAGAGGCCAGAAAGGGGAAAUGAAUAAUCAAAGCCCGGCCGCGUGAGCCUUGCGACAGCGCCGUUUCCGGGGACACGGCCACGAGGUCCGGCCCGCGGCCACGGCCAGCGAGUCCACGGACAGGCUUUCUUCCCCGUGCUCGCAGGCACGGCGGUCGUUGGUCGUUGCCGAGCACGAUGUCACGCUGGCGCUGCCCAAACGUGCCUGUCGACGACUACUACUACCCUCAUCAACUAUCAUCGCUCCCUCGGCCUUUCUCGCCUCUUGUUCCCUCGCCUCGAUCCGGUUGAGCGAGUGUCCUAAUCCUCAGCAUUAAUCGCCGCGCUUUGCGUGUCUGAUCGAGGUUAUGGCGGGCACCAGGACGCCAAAUCCUCCUGGCCAUUGUCCAUGUCGUCACGGCGGUUCCGAGCCAAGCGUUGUGGAUCAGCACGAAAACCAUGUACGGAGUACUUGGUACUGUCGGGAGCGUCGUUUCAGUCCCUUUUUGCCGGCGUGACGUGACGUGACCGACCGGGUCCGGAUCGAGCAGACUCGGAAUUCAAAUCCUGCCAGUGAUGGCGAUGGAUGCGUUAGGAUUUGGACCUGUGCCCGUCCGGCCGGCCGGUCGGUUCCUAACUGGGUCCCGUUGUUUUCACCGGUUUAGCCGUCGGUGCAGGAGACGUGGACUAGCUGAGGCCGAGGGCGUGAUCGAUCGAUCGCCUGGGCUCGUGGGGACGCACGGGUCGGAGGGCUUGCGACCGGUUCGCUGGCAACUACUGGUACGUAGCCGAGGUCGUAGGAGUGAGCGAUCGAGCCAUAGUUAAAGACCGGAGACCACACGGUUCCACCUGCUGACUGGCGCGCGUGGUUCACACCGAACUGAACGAGCGAAGCGAGAAAGCACCCAGUCAGGCAUACUGGACGCAACGACUUCGGGCUCUUCCAUAAUACCGCCGCUGGAAAACGACCAACGAACGAAACUAAUCGCGGUACUGCGGACGAAGACCGCGGCCGCGCUCGCCGCGUUUGGCAACCUGGCUCUGGCCGUGGCUUCCUGGCGUCCUCGGGGUUAGGUUUCCGAGCCGCGGCGGCCGAGCGCCGAGAGCCAGGGACUGGGUGCGUGGGAACGGCCGGGGAUGGCGGCAGAAUGCGUCCUGUCACCAUGUGGCAUGUCGCGUAUGUGUGGAUCGGUCGGCGCGGCGCUCGUGGCGAUCUCAUUCGUACGUGCGCGCGGAUCCGGAUGUCGCCUUAUCCUUAUCCCGUUAUCAGGCUAUCCCGAAACGGAUUCAGUAAGGUUGCUACGUGACGCACUCCACGCCUCUCAAUUCUCAAACGAGUCGUCCUACAGACUGCUGUAGCAUGUUAGCACGGAUACGACGGCCGCCGGAUCGACCGUGAGCAGCACGUGGUUUGGACCAUCUGAUCUGAUCCGAUCCGAUCCAAUCAGCGACGAGACUGGUCCGGGCUUAGGCGCGCCACGUUCCGGUGCGCCGAGCGUACACGGCUGCCAUCAAAUGGUUCCAAAGCCUCGGCCGGCCCAUCCUCCCUCCCCACCUUUGUGCGGCGCACGUAGCCAUCGCGGGAUUCAGCUAGCUCGACGAUAAUGCCUCGUGCCUCCACAUCUUUUGGCCUCUCGGGGAAUGGGAAUAAAGCGCAGAGGAUGGGAACGAGCGAAAACGGAGACGUCAGGAGGGAAAAGGUAAGAGGAGGUUUCACGGUUGACAUCAGAUGUGCUAGGGAGCGCUCAGGUUUCCAUUCCGUGUCGACGCGACGUGGGAGAAGGCUGCGAUCGCGGGUCGGAGCUACGAGAAACGAUGGGAACUGCAGGCAGGUUCGGUGUUUCCAUUCCAUGGCCGAGGGACGGGCGCCUCUGUAUCUAGUCCUUCUGCCCGUAUGUUAGGUUGGGGUGCGGGUACGGCUGGUAAUGGUUCGAAAUCCGCUCCAACCUUGCUUCAGCCCUCUAAUCAAAAUAGUUAGGUCAAUUCUUAUCCAACUCUUAUAUUUAUUACUUAUAUUUAUAUUUAUUACUAGUGCUUUAUCCAAUUUUAAGAAACAGCACAUUGAUCCAACCAUGAUCCUAUAUUUGCUCACGGGCCAAUAGGAUUUGCACUGAAGCAUAACGAUUCGUGGCCUCUAAUUAGUACAAACAAGCAAGCAAAAAGAGCAAGCAAGCAAAGAGACUCUAAUUAGCCGUGGGCUUCUCUGUAUCUUUGUCUUCUCGCAUUGUUUGGAAAUUAAUGCUUGACACUGUAGGCUAUCAUCAGUUGUCACAAAGGCAGAACUACACAGGCUGCUGAAUCCACACAAACCGGUGUACUAAUGCAGAUGGAACAAGAACGCAAGUGUAAACACAAAGCCUGAAACAAAAUUACACGGGACAAAAAAUAAGAACAAAUAUAUAUAGUGUAGCUUCUACUAUGGAUCAGUGAAGAUCAAUUCAUCCCUGCGUCUUCCUAAUAGGAGGCGGCAAAUUUCUCAGCAUCCGACCGUGAACCACCUCCUUCCUGUCCUGACGCGCUCCGCCUUCCUCUUCUCCUUUUGGCACACACAUUUCACCUCCUUCAGAUUCUUCACCUUCAAAGACAAAAAUUCAGAUUUUGAACGCUGGUGAAACAUAUCACAGUUCAGAUUUCAUAUGGUAAUCUAUCAUGUCAACUAGUAAUCUAUCAUGUCAACUGGUACAAUAAAUAUUGCAGGCCUAAGAAAGAUGUUGCACUAAAUGUUCAAGUGGACCAUCAAUAAAUUUCACCACAACAGCCUAUACUAUUUGACAUGUUGGAUGUUGAUCCUGUUCUUGACCAGAAGAAAAACUACAAUCACUAAAACUUUAAACCAUCGUAAACUAAAAUACAAUCAGCCAAUUACAUGCUAACGUUAUAUAAAUUGAUUAAACUGAAAUACAAUUAGCCAAAUACAACAGCCAAGUGUAAGACCCAUUUACCUUUAUUCAUGAUCUUCAUCUUCCUCGUCUGAAUCAAACAUUCUAUAACCGGUCAUUGGUUUACCUUCUUUUUCUUCAUCAAAUCCAAUUAGUCAAUCUUUUGCACAGAUCAAUGCUUCAAGCGUUUCAGGUGAGAGAGAUAUCCUAUUUUUCCCAAGAAUCCUUCCAGCUGCACUAAAGGCUGAUUCUGAGGAUACUGUGCUAACAGGAAUAGAAAGAAAGUCUCUAGCCAUCAAGGACAAGAUUGGAUAAGCAUCAGCAUUCUUCUUCCACCAUGAAAGAACAUUGAAGUGCUCAUCUGACCUCACAAGGACUAUAGGGUCCUUCAGGUAAAUAUCCAUCUCUGACCGUUCUUGACAGGCCGCCGAGCUUUGUGAUGCAAACUGAGCGAAUGCAAGCUCUACCCGUCUUUUACCAGAAACUUGUCCUAAAGAAGUGCUACCAGACUCGCCGGACUCACUUGUGCUCUGCUCAUUAUCUGAUAUAUUGAACACAAGCACAAUGUUGCUCCUGACAAUCUUUUCAUACUCUAGGUAAUAUGUCUUCAAAUACCGAUUUAGCUCCCUCAUUUUCACCUCAACAUUUUC
rnacentral:lncRNA from 1 species